rnacentral:lncRNA from 1 species
GUUCAUUAGAAACAGAAAGAAAGCUCCCUUGAGAAAUGUACAACACAGAGGCAGAGGGUUGGUUGUCAAGCCACUGAAAGUAGCCAUGUUUAGAGGCAUCAAUGUGGCCAUUGGCAAAACAAGGUAUGGCAGGGCCAACAGUGUAUAUAGGUAUAAAUAACUCUGCUUUCAAAGCAUCAAUAGCUUGAGGCUCAAGUUCAUAUAUGGUGGGGAAUAACAGAUAUUGCGCUUUCUGCACCCACGGUAUAAUAUUCAAAGCCAAUUCCAACAAUCUUCGACUACGCCAACUUUCAUCACUGAAUGGAAAAUCUGCCAGACGAAUUGAUGAGUUCCCCGGAAUAUAAUCCACACGUUUCUCACCAUCUUCUGCAACAAAUAUCUUACUUUUUAAUUAUUACAUCAAGAAUUGAUAUGCAGAAUUGAGUGGAGAAAAAAGUAAAUUAACUUUAGAAUCUUAUAGAUAGAUACACAUGAUAUUAUAGUAUAGAACAAAUUUACACAAUUUUGAUAGUUAGAAUAUUAACACAACAUUGGAGAAAAUUUGCGAGUUCCAUUUUAAGACAUAUAUAUAGAAAGAUUACCAUCUUAUAUACCACGAGUCACAAAAUCUCUAUUUAAAUUCAUAAUCUGAAUGCUAAAAAUGAUUUACAUCCCAAAAUUUAAACUUCAGACCGAUAAACAGUUCUGCUUUUUUUUCCUAGUUAAGAGAAUGUGACUUUUUAUCAAUAAAAUUCCUACAUAUAUAAAGAGAUUCAACCCACACACAAAUCGAGGGGAAAAUUUAAUUUAAGUAGUGGUACAAGUUAAAAAUAGUCUGGGAAUCGAGUCUAAAGAGCUUCCACGAGUCUACAUAGACUCGCGAGUUUGACAACCUUGACUGUGGCCAAUAUCUAUUUGUUCUGCCUCUCAUAUCUUCUUUGUGAAAAUGACACAAGUUUAAUAGGUCCUUUAAAAAGGUUUGUCAAAACCCAAAUUGUGGCAUUAUCUGAUCAACUUUAUGAAAUUCCACUAUGGCAAAACAUAUCAAAAGAACGAUCAUCCGACUUAUAGGAGAAUAAAAAAAAAUUAUCGUUAAUACAAGUUAAAAAAUGUUGUCAAGAUUAAAUGUAUGUAUGAUCUUAUUAAGAACCUGUUUUGGCUUUAAGUGACCUAAGAUCUUUCUUAUUAGAUUGAUUGUACUCGUAGGUGUGUGUUGUCUUUGCAUAAUUAUUGAAGACAUUGGCAUAGGACUUGGUUUUGCACUUGAAAAAUGAUUUAUUUUAUCUAUACAAUUACUUUUAACUUUUGCGGUUCUAAUAAAACAUGUUAUUUAUGAAAGGUGGUCUCGUACAACUAUGCAAAGGCAACACACCUACUAAUACAAUCAGUCUAAUAAGGAGGACUUUGGACUAGUUACAACCUAAACAAAUUCUUAAUCAGAUUAUACAUACAUAUAAUCUUAACAACAUUUUUUAACUUAUAUUAAAACAUUUUUUCCAAUUCUUGUGGAUUCCUUACAACAGAAACCAAGUUAAUCCCUUGAUUACUACUAAGGUUUCUCUUAUUAGUCGGGUGAUUGUUUUAUUGAUUUGUUUUGUCAAGUAGAAUUUCAUCAAGUACAUCAGGUUGGAUUUUGACAAACUAUUCCAAUGGACCCAUUAAACUUAUAUAAACUUCAUAAACAAAUAUGAGAGGCAUAAUAGAUAGAUACUAACCACAAUACUAUAAAACGUGGAUAACAAUGUAGAAUGAUCGACAUAAUAGUGUCAUUCAAGAAAUUUAGUUAAAUGGUAAUGAUGAUUUGCAUGAUACCACAAUAUACAUGUAAUUUUACAUUAAUCAUAUUUUUCGCUACAUAUCGUCUCCACAACCAACAUCCCACAACAAUGUAAAAGUUUUAUUUUUUAUUUUUUAUAAAAACUCAUGAUAACUAUCACUAUGAAUUUUCACAUCUCAAUUAUAUGAUACCUCAAAAUCCUCCAAUCAUAUAUCAUCACAUAAAAUAUGACAUUAAAGAGAAAAGAAACAAAUAUAAGAAAAAUCCUCCAAUCAUAUAUCAUCACAUAAAAUAUGACAUUAAAGAGAAAAGAAACAAAUAUAAGAAAAAGGAACAUAGGAUAUAAUUAUUGCCUUCCCUAGCUUUGUAACUAAUUUAAUUGAUAUAACAAAUUAAAAAGAAUUAAAAUUAAUAUAUUAAUGAAAUGAUCAAAUUAUUAUAAAAUAAUAAUAAUAAUAAUAAUAUUAUUAUUAUUUAUUUUAUAAUUAAUUUUAUAUUAUAUAAUAUCCUGAAAUAUGUUUAUGUAUGUAAUUAAAUAACAUAAUUAAAGGUUAGACAUGUAUAUAGUUUUUAAAUUCUCUCAGCUGUAUAUUUUUUCACCUCAUUCAUUUGUUUUAUUCUUUUUCGCAAAUCAGUGAAUAUUAUCGAAAAUAAACAAUGGAGUAUCAUCGCGUUUUAGUCCACUUGUAGAGAGAUUGAGUGAAGUUCUAGAACAGUCAUGGUAAUUUCCAAACAUGGUUUUGUGAUGGUAACUGACCUGAUACGUUUACAGGGUAGUGGCCGUUUCGCCGGAGAAGAUGGUAGUGUUUGAGAACGGCGAAAAACGACGCGGACAUGGGCCAAAACGACGCCACGGGAAUGUUUCUAGCGUUGGCGACGCGAACCACCCAGUAGAGGAAAGUGUCGUAUAUGAUUACUGUGGGUGGAAGGUGAAGACGGUUGAGAAAGUCUUCAAAGGGCGCUUCCAUUUUGGUCAUAACGGCUUCAAAGAAGGUGACGUAGUCGUUGGCUCGACCCUCUUCGGAGGGAAUAACGUUGGGGAUUGUGGCAAAUCGGAGGUUGUCGGGUUUGGAGUCGGAGUCGAUGAAGCCGAGCCAUUCUUCGGUGACGACGAAGGUUACCAGGAUUUGAGAGUUUUUGGAGAGGAGCAACUUGCAGAGGUUCAUCAUGGGAUUCACGUGACCUCGUCCUGGGUACGGCACCGCUACCACGUGGCAGACCAUGGUUGGUGGUAGUUGAACCGGAUGCCCCAUAGAUAUAAGAACAGUGCAACAAGCAGAGUAUGGAAAAAUGUGAACAGAGCACGUCACUUUUCAAUGAUCACUGCACACUCCUCUGCAAUGAUCACUGCACCCACCUCUGCAAUGUUCAGAUACAAGUCUUCAAUGUUCUUUGUUGAGUCAUAGUCUCUUUUAUACUCCACAACGAGUAUUAAAACACUAACUUUUUUGGUUUUUUUUUUUACAUUUGGUGUAAUUUUAUACAUAAAUUAUCCGGUAAAUUUUAAAAAAUUAAUUGAUAUGGGUAACUCAUGUUUGUAUGAUUCCAUUUCUUAUAACUAGUUAAGUGUAAGAAAUAAGAAAAAACAAUUGUUGAUAAGUUGAAAAUCUUGCAUUAUAUUAUAAUUAGAGAGAAGAAUUUUUUAUUAAAUGAAAUUAUUUUAGAAUUAUAUUGUAUUACAUCCAGUUAUAAAUUCUGCUGAUAUAUGUAUAUGGUGCAAUUAUCUAAGACAACAUUUUAUAAAAAAAAAUUGUGCGCAGGAAAUAUAAGUACCGAGAAAAAUAGUAUUAGAGUAGAAAUGAUACAGGAAAUAUAAGGAUCGAGAAAAAUAGUAUUAGAGUAGAAAUGAUACAUGGUACCUGAAUAUUUUAUUAUUAAAGUGAAAAGGCUAUAUAAAUAGAAAUUUAGUUAUUCAGGUUUCAUUUUAAAAAGAACUAUCAUCUCUAAAAACUCCUUUUUCCUUUCCUCUACCUUCUCUCUAAAAUCUCAACCUCCUCGUUCAUCUGUUUGACGAUCGGAGUCCACCAUUGGACUCUUGGCAGCGAGAUCUACAAUAUUGACCGUUCAGAAUCUUUCAUAGAGUAUGUUCAUUUUUUGUUCCCUUUUUCCUUUCCUCUCCCUUCUCUCUUGGAUUUUGACCUCCUCUUUCGUCAAUUUGAUGAUCAGAGUCUGCCAUUGGACUCCUGGCAGCGAACUCUACAAGAUUGACCGAUCAAAAUCUUAAAUAGAGUAAGUUCAUUCUUGGCUCUUUUUCCUUUGAGUUAGUUUUGAUCUGGUUGGGUUGCCUUUUAAUUUAAGUUUGCAUGUGAGGUUUUUAUCUUCAGAACUAGUCUCUGUUAGCUUAGGGUCCUAGUGAUGUAGUUAGAUUUGUGAUCAGGACUCUGUGGUGCAGGUUAGGGUCUUUUGGUGGGUUUGGAGCUCUUAGUGAGCAUCUGCUAAAGUCUAGGUAAAGGAAGCUAGUUUAAAAUCUUCAAUAGAACCCUACGUUAGAAGAUUUGAAUGUGUGAGUGUGACGUGAUCACCAAUUCCAAAUUUUGUUGCAAGAUUUCUUGUUUUGAGUAGAUUGUAGUUUGAUUGAAAUUGAAAGUGUUGUGAUUGAGAAUUUUUUGAUUUAAAUGGUUGUAGAAUUAGAAAUCAUAUAUAUAUAUAUGUAUAAAUGGAGAUAAUAACUCAAUGAUUCAAUGAGAGUGACUGUAUCAUGUUGAACAGGAACUACCAAUGUAAUAUGUAGAUUUAUAAUUUAUGAAUCGAAUGAGAUGUUGAUUUAUAAUCUGAUAGGUAUAUUAAGUUAUGCAGAAUUUUUCUGCAUAUUUCGCCCAAGCUAGCAAGUUCUAGCUCAAGCUAGAAAAUUAUGGGUGCUCCCUAGAGGAUUUUAGCUCAAGCUAGCGAAUUUUAGCUCAAGCUAAAAUUCUGGGUGCUCUGAGGAUUUUAGCUCAAGCUAGCGAAUUCUAGCUCAAGCUAAAAUUCUGGGUGCUCUCUGGAGGAUUUUAGCCCAAGUUAGCGAAUUUUAGCUCAAGCUAAAAUUCUGGGUGCUCUCUGGUGGAUUUUAGCUCAAGAUAGCGAAUUUUAGCUCAAGCUAAAGUCUAAAAUAAUAAUAAUAAUAAUAAUAAAUAAAUAAAAAUAAAAUAUAUUAAACUAAUUUUUAUUUGCUUUUAAAAGAUUGAUUGAUUUAUUUAUAUAUAGUUUUUCUUAUAAAGUAUGUAAACUGUUAUUUCAUGUAUAGUUAAUUGAAAAUCUCUUUAAUUAGACAUUUAUAUGAUUAGUCAAUGAAUUGUUGUGUAUUUUGGAAAUUUUAAACAUUGGUAUGAUUUGAUUGUUUGAUGGUGGAUAUUUUGAGGUUUAAAAUAUGAAUUCUAAUCAAGACAUAGUAUUUUCAGGAAAGAAAAUACCGUGUUAAGAUUGUUUAGGAUGUGCAUUGACUAGAGAUUCGUCUAGAAGGAGAUAUCCUGACUCUCCUGAUAUAAUGGAAUCAUAUAGAUGAAGUUAUUCAGGUGGUGAGGGUCGAAAGAGGUUCAUAUGAAUAGGUAAGUUGUUUGAAAGAUAAUUAACUUGACCUGUUAUAUGAAUUAACCCUGUCAUACUAGGAGAGAGAUGAUAUUGAGAUUAAUUAUGCGCAUAGCUGUGUGGAUUUCACAGUGAUGUAGUAUGACAGGUGCAGAUCUCUGAGUUUAAGUCAACGCACGAGUCUUUCGGAAGUAGAGUCAAGUGUCUAUGUGUUAUGAGUCAGUAGAAGUCUGACAUGAGAAAGAUGAAUAUUGCAAUUGUUGAUAGGCACUUGAUGGUUAUGUGAAAUGCAUGAGAAAUGAUGAAUUUAUGUGGAUGUUUAAACUCAUAUUUGUGUUAUAAGUUUUAAAAAUACCUAGCUUACCCUUUGUUUUGUUUUGUGGUUGUUUUUCUUUGAUCUGUGAUGAUCGUGUAUUUUACACGGGAGCAGAUGAUGUUACAGGUGAUAAAGUUUCUCGGUGAGAAGAUGGAUAAUGGAAAAUGUUUAUUUUUCUUUUAAAAUUUUGUUUUAAAAUUUAUGUAAAUGUUUCAAGUCUUAUGAAGAGAGAGAUAAUUUGAAACAUUAUAAUAAUGAAAUUUUAGAUAUAUUUGUAUUAUGUUUAUAUAUUUAUUUUAAUAUUUCAUACAGAUUAUGGUUAUAGAUAUGAAAAAAAUAUAGGAUGUUACAGGAAAUUCCACUUAUUUUUAUUUUAAUAUUGACACAAUUUUAGUGUAUUAAUUUAAGUAUAUUAUGAUGUAAGUUCAAAGUUAUGCAAAAAUAAUAAAUUUUUAAUAUCAUCUUAUUUGAAUUAAAAUAGUGUGAAGAUAAUAUGAUUUGAGUUGUGCUUUUAUAUUUUAUUGAAGUGGUUUACCAUUUACUCAAAUUUUGCAUGAGAUUUUUUUUUUUAAUUUUGAUUUAUAUUUUUUUAUAUUAUUAUUUAUAUUAAUAUUAAUACACACGUUUUUAGAAAAGUGAUUAAUAUGUUAUUAUUGAUUGUUUAUAUGAAGAUAUUAUUUGUGAAAUUUAAAAAUUAAUAUUGUAUAUUUAUUUAAAAAUAUAAGAUGAAUAAGUAAUUCUAUAAAAAAAUAAUAUAUGUUAAAAAUACAAAAGUUAAUAUAAGAUUUAAGAUUAGGGAUAAUAUGGAAACUAGUUGUUUAAUUUAUGUAGUUAUAUAUUAUUAUUUGUUUGAUUAUUUUGUGGGAUAAUUAGAGGAAAUGAAGCUAUAAAAUAAUAGUACAAAAUAAAAAUAAAAAGAAAAUUAAUAAUAGAAAUUUGAAUUAAAUUUUAUUAUCAAUCAUUUCUACAUGGACAAUAGGUUGUACUAUAAUCUUCUUUCCUACAAUAAAAAUACUUUUUUAUUUAAAAUUAACUCAUCCAUUUUAUCAUGUGGUUCAUGUGACAUCGUCCUGGGUACGGUCCCGCUACCACAUGGCCUGGUUGGUGGGUGGUACUUGAACCGGAUGCGCCAUUGAGAUAAAAAAUUGUUUUAUUUUAAUUAUUUAUAAUUUUUUAAUUUUAAAAAUUAUUUUAACAUUUUAUAUUUUACUUAUAUUUUUGUUUAAAUUUUUUAUUUUUUUAUUAUAAAUAUUAAUAUUUUAAUGUCAAAAUAUCAUUUCUCAUUAAAACAAGAACAGUGAACCAAGCAGAGUAUUAAGUGAUGAGAGAACGUGACUAUUUAAUGAUCAGUGCACCCACCUCUUACCCAAGAAGUUCGCAGACAAGUCUUCAAUGUGCUCUUUUUGUGUCAUAGUCUUUCUUAUACUCCACAGUAUUAAAACACUAAUUUUUUGGAUUUCUUUUUAUACAUAAAUUAUCCUGUAAUUUAUAUAAUAAAGUUGUCUCAUGCAUGAUUUUAAUUUAUAUUAAAUUAUCUUAAAAUCGUGUCAAUCCUACAGGAUUUCAUUUAAAGAAUAUAUAAAAAUAAAAUUAAUCGUAAUCAGUAUAAUUGUUCACACAAUAAAAAAAAACAAACCUAAAGAGCAUCUAAGACAGGAAUGAUACAAAAGACCAAUGUUAAAUGUGUUGCAUCCCAGAGUGGCAUGGAGAAUCUGAAUCAAAUGUAAGUAAUAUUUCACUGUUUCAAACUCUCAUUAUGGUACCCAUUGUUGGGUGAGAAAUAAAAAAAAUUACUGUGUAUAAAGAAGACAUGAAAAUUAAGAGAAUAAAAAGUGAAAAAUAUAUAAAACUGUACCGACCAGGUAGUCGGGAGUGAUGACGUGGCAGCAAGCGAUAAUAUAGGCGUGUUGAAUGGGACACCUGGCUGACAGAAGGGAAGUACAUCGGGAAGUCUGUGUAGUCGCCAAGUGUUGGCUUGGCGUUCUCCGAUCUCUAGUAUAUGUAAACCAGCGGUCACCAACUUGCGUCGUAGUCGCCGUAUGUGAGUUAUGGGAGACCAGGUGGUUGGAGAUCGCCGAGAGGGGCACAUCGCCGAGAGAUCAGGAAGGCUUGCUUAGGGCCUUCAAGGGGUACGAGUACAAAGGACGAGGUUAUCAGAUGAUCAUUCCCUAGCCAGAGGUCGAGGCAAGGGAACAGUUUCCCAGAACAUGCAUGAUGUGCAAGUAAUGCAGAUCGUGAUAGCGGCAGGCGAGACCACAGAGAAGGUAUGCAUGGUGACACCCCAUGCUCGCCACUUAGAAGAGAUCGCGUUCCAAGGAAGCUAUGCACUGAGUUACUCCCUGCUUGGGUAACUUAGUCAAAUAGCUCGAAGAGUAGAGGUGACGCUCAGGUAGAAGGGAGGCUCCAGAUGGUGACACGUGUACAGCUGGAUGCGAGUCACGUGUCCAGAGGUGUAACCGUCAGGAGAGAGAAAAACGCUCAGGUAUAUAAGGAAUUCUAACGGACUUCUGAGGUACGCGCGUUUAGAACACUUCUUUACGCUUGUGAGAACACUUGAGUACGCUGAGAGAGAAUAUUGCAUGGUUCCUUGAGUUUUUAGCUUUUCUCUGAGUAUUUUGGUGAUUCCGUCACUGACUUGAGCGUCGGAGCGCGAUCGGCCGCAGUGGCGCCACUCUGUUUCUUCAGGUUCUUGCGAGGAUUUGAGACUUGAAGGACGGAAGCUAGCAUGGUGCAAAGCCGAUCCAGAAGGAGGUACCUUCGACGUGGCAAGACUCUUGCGCUCUGGUCAACCGGCAGGAUAAAAAACGAAGAGCAUUUUAAACUCAAAUUAUUACUAAUUUUAUUUAAAAUAAAAUUACAUAAUUAAAUAUAAUAUAGUAUGUUACGAAGUGAACUUUAAGCCUAACUCAACCCCAUAAAAUCGGCUCAUAAGAUUGAGGUUUGCACCCAGUUAUAUACAAUGAAAGACUCUAAUCUCUAGUCGAUGUGAGAUCUACAUCACACCCCCUCACGCCGAGGGUGAUAUAUAGAAGCUCGUGCGUGGGAUAACAUAUUAUAGGUGAUGGCCUGAUAAACCAAACAAAUACUCGGUAGGAUAGGAUCAAAAUGACUCUGAUACCAUGUUACGAAAUGGAUUUAAGCCUAACUCAACCUCAUAAUACCCGCUCAUGAGGUUGAGGUUUGCACCCAGUUAUAUAUCAAUUAAAAAAAAUAUAAUUUCAAUCACACUCAUCACAUCGUUCACAACUUUUAUAAACUUUUUUCACACUUUCUACUCUAUUUAUCUUAAUCCAAACACCCUAACUUUCUUCACAUUUUCUCUUCAAAUCAUUUCAAAUCUACUCCCUCAUAUCAACUCCAUGAUCCAAAUAAAAACUAUUGAAGCAUAGAGAAUCUGAAUCAAAUGUUAAUAAUAUUUGACUGUCCCUAUCAAACUCUCAUUAUGGGAGCAUGGAGAAUCUGAAUCAAAUGUUAGUAAUAUUUGACUGCCCUACCAAACUCUCAUUAUGGAAGCAUGGAGAAUCUGAAUCAAAUGUUAGUAAUAUACUGCCCUACCAAACUCUCAUUAUGGGAGCUUCAUGUAUCACACCACUCUCACUUACUAAACCCACAUUAUGGGAGUUUCAUGUAUCAGCCAACUCUCACUUUAGAAUUUUGGCUUCGUAAGAUCAGAAGUGGAAAAAAAUUUUGAUCCUUUUGGUGGGAUUCUUUACUUACAACUGAUUAAUUUUGUAUUGAAUUCAUCAUCAACACUUAGAUUUUUACUUUUUCAAUUACUUAUUUCUAUAAUAUGAUUAAUUCUCUUUUAUGACAUUGUUUUUAUAGAAAUAGAGUUUCAUUUAAUUUUGUUGAAGGUUGUGUUUUUCAUAUCUCAUCUUUAUGCCUGUAAUAUUGCUAUUGUUAUUUACUUUUUACAUAUGGACUUUAAAAUACCAGUGUUUUUUUCUCUUUUGCUUUUUAUAAAACAAUAUCAAUCCUUAGUCAUUCAUUAUACGGAGUACAUUUGCUUCUUCUCAUUUGGUUUUUGCAGAAAAUAUAAGAACUAGCAUGUGGGGAAUCUAAUUAGUGUUCACGGACAUCACUUUUAAAAAGCACACAGUAAAAGUAUGCACGGUCACCUCUUCCGUGAGACUACUUAACAUCCUAAGAUUUAAGAGAGAAACGAUAUUACGAGAAUGUGUGGAAAAAAUUUAUUAAAGUUGGUGAAUGAUGUGAUGAUUGUAAAUAUAUUUUAAUUAUUUUUUAAUGGUAUAAAUUAUAAGAUUACAAAUUUAUCUUUGUGUAUAAAAAAAUAAUUUUGUAUACAUUUUAGUUAGUUAAAAUAAUGUAAAAUUUUAAUUAUAAAUAAAAGAAUACAAGAAUAUAAAAUUAAAAUAAUAAUUAUUAAUAAUAUUAUUAUUUAAUACAUUUAUUUGAUUAUUAUUAAUUUAUUUAAUUUAUAUUUAUUAUCAUUAUUUUAAAAAUUUAUUUUAAUUAACAUUAUUAUUUUAUAAAUUAAUUUUACAUAUUAUUUUUAUUUUAAUAUUUAAACAUUUAUAUUAUUAAUAUUAAUACAAAAUUUACUGUUAUAAAUAUAUAAAUAUUUAUAUUAUAUUAUUAUAAAGCCUAAAAUUUUAAAUCAUGUAUUUUAUUAAUUCUGACUAAUAAGGAAAAAAUAGAUAAAAAAUAUAUGUACACUGCAUGAUUAAUUCAUAAGAAAUUUUAUGAAAAAAAUGAGGGCGUGCAUGUUACCACAUUCUUAAGUGGCUUUCUUACUUGGCUCAAUUCCCUAUCUAGCAUCAUUUACAUCUUUAUUUCCCUAUCUAGCACCCUUUUGUUUUUAUUUCCCUAUCUAACACUCUUUUAUUUUUUAUUUCCCUAUCUAGCACUAUUUUAAAAGUAAAUAAAUAAAUAAUAAAUUAUUUUUUUUAAUAAUUUUAAUUUUGAAUGCAUUAAAAAAUAAAUAUUUUUAAUGUUUAAAAUAAUUUGAAAUAUAAUUAAUGAAUGAAUAAAUAAGUUUUUACAAAAUAAAAAUAAAAAAGUAAUAAAUUAAAAAUGUUUACUUUAAAAUUAUUUUUUUUAAAAAUGAAGAAAAUAAAAAAUUAAACUCUACAACAACAUAAAAGUUGAAUCUAUAAACACAAAUUAGUAUUUAUUUUUAUUAUUAUUGAUGAUGUAAUCAUGUUAAUUUCAAAGUAAAAAAUACAUGACAUAUUUAUAAAAAAGAACAAUGUCAAUUAGUAUUAAUUAAUAGUGGACACAUAAAUAAUAUUGAAGUAUUUACCUAAAUGCAAAAUUCUAAAAAAAACUAAUACAAAUGUUACACUUAAUGCUUAAAAAUGAGAAGAAAAAAAUGCAAAAAUAAAUAAGUCUAGAAAAUAAAAACAACAACAAUAAAAUAAAAACAAAAACCAUAAAUAAAUAAAUAAAGAUUGCAGAAAAAAUAAUAAUAACUAAAAACAUAAAAGGUAUAAAAUAAAGAAAAAACAAAAUAAGAUAAAGAUAAAAGAUAUAAAAAAAAUCAAAUAAAUCAAAACAAGAUAAAUAUAAGAGAUAUAAGACGAUAUUAAAUAAGUAUAUGUUGAUCAUGAAAAGGAAAAUAAAUGAGAGAUGAUCAUUCAUUUAAUANNNNNNNNNNNNNNNNNNNNNNNNNNNNNNNNNNNNNNNNNNNNNNNNNNNNNNNNNNNNNNNNNNNNNNNNNNNNNNNNNNNNNNNNNNNNNNNNNNNNAUUGACUUUGGUUUUUUUUUAUAAAUAUGUCCUGUAUUUUUUACUUGAAAUUAACAUGAUUACAUCAUCAAUAAUAAUAAAAAUAAAUACUAAUUUAUGUUUAUAGAUUCAACUUUUAUGUUGUUGUAGAGUUUAAUUUUUUAUUUUCUUCAUUUUUAAAAAAAAUAAUUUUAAAGUAAACAUUUUUAAUUUAUUACUUUUUUAUUUUUAUUUUGUAAAAACUCAUUUAUUUAUUCAUUAAUUAUAUUUCUAAUUAUUUUAAACAUUAAAAAUAUUUAUUUUUUAAUGCAUUCAAAAUUAAAAUUAUUAAAAAAAUAAUAAUUUAUUAAAAAAAAUCAUUAUUUUUAUUUAUUUUUAAAAUGGUGCUAGAUAGGGAAAUAAAAAAUAAAAGAGUGCUAGAUAGGAAAAUAAAAACAAAAGGGUGCUAGAUAGGGAAAUAAAGUCAAAAGAAUGCUAGAUAGGGAAAUAAAAAUGUAAAUGGUGCUAGAUAGAGAAUUGAGCCUUCUUACUUCUCCCUCAUCUUUCUCCACACUUGUGAGAAGGAACCUUCACCUUCGAGCUAUCUACUUUUCGCCUAUAAUAAAAAAUAAAUUUAGAAUUAAAUGAUAUAAAAAAUAUUAAAAUAAUAAUAGUGGCAACUUAAUGUAAUUGUAUAGAAAUUGUGUGAAGAUAUCGUUACCUUAUUUCAAAAGCUAAGAAUUCAAACCAGUUUUACUUUCGCUGCAUAAAAAAUAUUAUUUUAUAAUUUUAUAUUGCAAGUUCUGUCCUUAUUUUGGAAAGCUAAGGUAUGAAACAUUCAAACUUGUUUCAUAUUGUCUAGAAAAAAAAAUAUUUUAUAAUUCAUACACAUAAUUAUUUGUUUAUAUUGUUUAUGUGAGGAGUUUAUGGUCAUUGAUCAAUUUAAAUGGUUUCGGAAGAUUUAAUUUUGUACUUAUAACAUGUGUUCUAAUUGAAGGUCUAAAUCACAAUUUAAUAUAUUUCUCAAUAACAAUUUAAUUAUAAAAGAAGAAAAUAAAAAACAAAAUAAAUUAACUAUUAUAAAUAAGUAAUUAAAAUCAACUUAAAUAAAGAAGUUUGAUUUUUUUCCUAUUAUAAAUUAAGAAAUUGAUUUAAUCAUAAUAGGAUUUUUAUGUGUUUUAACGUUCUUUCUUGAUAAUUAGUAGUUAUGAACAUUCAUUAAAUCUAAUGUUUUGUUUGGAUUAGGAGUAAGAAAGUUGAUUCAAAAUAACUUUUUUAACUUAGACAACAACUAUGAACAAGUGAGGAGCAAAUUCGACACAUGAAUUCCCGGUUUCAAUCCUUUCAAGGUUUUAUGAUUCAAUAUCUACCACUUGAAGCAGUAGCAGCUUCACAACCUAUUUUUCAGCAGCCAAAUACCCCACAACCAAAUACUCAACAGAAUCAGAUGCAAGAUAAUGAUGAUGAGCAAAAAAUUCACCUGGUCAAGAUUAUAAUAAUUAUUAGCUUCUUAAAAUCUUUGUAAUGACUUGAAUUUCCUUUUGUUAGAUAUUUUUUUUUUGGUUUGAAUGAAAUACAUUUGGAUAUUUUGAAUAUUUGGAAAUAGUAUUGUAUUCUGUCAUACUUUUCAUUUUAUGGACAGAUCUAAAUGUUGAUGAAUAUUUGUCUUUGAAUUAAUUCUAUUGAAAACUGGAAUGGUUUUUGGUAUAUGCAGGUGUGAUUCCAGUGCUUUCAAAUAUAUAUAUAUAAAGAAUUAUAAUUACAUACGUAUAUAUUUGUAUGUAAACCUACACACAGUUACAUACGGAUCUAUCUGUAUGUAAACAUACAAAUUUAUCCGUGUGUAAAUCUGCACACAACCGCAACCAUAACCGCCUUCGCAUCUAACUUAUCACCCUUAGAGGUUUCCUUCUUAUGGUCAUGGUUUUGAUGUUGGUCAAUCCAGUCAUUCAGAUCUUCCAUAACCAUCCACAUCCAAAGAUCAUCUUCACCACCUCUCACUUCAUUCUCCACAUCAACAUAUUCUUUACACAUAUAAUUUUUUACCUUCUCCUUCGAGUAUUUUUUCCACUCUACCAAAUAUUUUUGGAACUUCAGUAUUUACCCUUUUUUCUGAAUAUAAUCCAACAUCAUCCAUGCACUAUCGACCCACAAUGCCCUCACCAGGAUGUCAUAAUGAAGUCAAUAACGACGAUGAUGAACAUAUCUAGUUAUAUGACAAUAACGACGAUGACGAACGCUGAUGAUUCUCUUCCACCUCCACCUUCAUCUGAUCAUCAUCCUCCACGAAGACCACAUUGUGACACGUUUCCCAUAAAUAAUUUACUUCCAAUAUUUUAACUUUUUUAUUUAUUUUAUAUCUUGUAAUGAAUUUUAUUAAUUUGUCUAGUUAUAAUUAAUCUCUUCUCAUCAUUACGUGUUCUAUAAAACCAUUAUUUCCCUAUGUAUUUAUUUUCCAAUCCAUAACAACAAUUUUCUAUUUAUUUUCAAAAUACAUUAACAAUUCUCAUUUCUCUAUUUGUUUUCAAAUGCAAUAAAAUUUUUCUUCAUAUUUUUAUUAAUCAAAUAACCAAAUUAAUAUAUUACAUUACCGUCAAACAUAUCCAUACAUGAUUACCUAAUUUUUUUGUCACUUAAAACUAACAUCCUUAGAAAAUUAUUUAUCAAAUUAAUUUGAAAUAUUACAUAUGUUUAUUGAUUAUUUUUAAUAAUAUAGUAAUUGAAGCAUCCUACAUAUGUUUGUCGACCACUCUUUCUGAUGAUCACGUAAAUUUGGACUCCAACCAAAUUACAACUGUAAUGGUCAAUUCCAUUAAAGCAAACCCAUCCAUCACUGUGAAAAGUUUAAUCGCAGAAAUUAAAAGUCGUUAUGGUUAUUCUGUAACAUAUAAAACAAGCAUGGAUGACAAAACAAAAGGCGCUUGCCAUGAAAUUCGACGAUUGGGAUGAAUCCUAUAAUCAUCUUCCAAGAUGGUUGCAGGUGGUUCAAGAAAGUGUCCCUGGGACAAUUUUCGAAUAUGUAACUCAGCCUUUUGUUAUAGGCGAUGUUCAAGACAACUCGUGUAACAUCUUCGAACGAGUAUUUUGGGCUUUCAAGCCUUGCAUUGAUGACUUUAAUUACUGCAAGCCAAUAUUCCAAGUUAAGGGAACAUUCUUGACCGGAAAAUACCAUGAAACUUUGCUACUGCAAUUGGUCAAGAUGGCAACCGAAACAUAUUCUCUCUAGCUUUUGCAAUAGUUGAAGGUGAAACAAAAGAAGCAUUGAUCUAGUUCUUCCGCCUGUUGCGAUCACAUGUCAUACCACAACAAAAUAUCUGCAUGAUAAUUGAUAGAGGAAAGGCCAUUUUAUCAGCAUUAAAAUCUCCAUAAGUAGCUUGGGAAGGACAUGGUCUCCUAUCAGUAUAUUGCAUACGCCACAUUACAUCUAAUUUCAAUAAGAAAUUCAAAAAUGCCGAGGCGAAGAGACAAUUAAUAAACACGAGUAUUUAUAUCAAUUUAAUUGACUUAUAUUGAUUAUUCUUGUUGCAACACAAUCACUUUAAAUAAUUUAAUUUUGUACAUUUCACAGGUUAUGAAAUAAAACAACCAAUUGUUCAGGUAAAGUUGUUGGCUCUAAGAUCACAAUUUCAACAAGCUUUUGCCUGGAUAGAUCAAAUACCUUCGAAAAAAUUGACACAAGCAUAUGACGGAGAGGUAUGACCACAUGACAACAAAUUUAGCUUAGUGCAUGAACUUUGUAUUAAAGGGAGCACGAUCGUUACCCAUAUGUGCUCUUGUGAAGACAACUUUUGAAAGAACCAAAUCUUAGUUUGUUGAACGAGGGACGAAAAUAGAGUGCAUGUUACAAGCUGACCAUCAAUAUCCAGAAAAUAUUACUGUCUUGUUACAGAAAAAUGAACAACAAUCGACUAUGUGUCAUGUCCAAAACUACAAUAAACAAAAUUCAGAGUUAAUCAUGCCUUAAAAUCUAUGAAAUAUAACCCUUCUUUAACUCAUUCCAUCAACUCGUUACACGAAUUUUAAGAAGCAAAUACACUCUCAUGUACAUUAUUUAGUUUAUAUAUAUUUUCACAAACCAUAACUACUCCAUUUUUUCCCUCUCUUUUCUUUUAUCCAUUGCUGUAAAAUUUAAAUCAUUUCAGUAUAAAAAAGUGUAUUUAAAUAUGAUUAGAGAAUAACAGGAACUGGUACGGUAUAUAAGUUUUCUGAAAAAAGAAAUUGAAGGUUUAAAAUAAUAAAACCAACAUUCUUACUUUGGCUUGGCACCAUGUAAUAUAUUUGAAAGAAAAGCAGUGAUAUCAGUUUCUGAUGAUCCCCCACUUGCAAUUGCACUGUGGCAUAACUGUUUCAACUCUCUGCUUCUUUUCCUCAUCACUUCAUCACCAUCAAAAUCCAUGAAUUUUCUUAUAAGAUUAGCAAUUUCAUUUUUUCUGAUCAAAGUGUCCUUUUUUACCUCCUUCUUCACCCUCCACCCCACCUUCCAUUCCUCCACUAAAAACUUACCAUUAAGGGGUUGGUCCAUAAAUAUAGGAAAUGCCAAAAAAGGAACACCACUGAAAACACCUUCUCUAGUAGAAUUCCAGCCACAAUGAGACCAAAACCCACCAAUUGCAGGAUGCUGCAACACCCUCAAUUGGUCACACCAUGGCAAAACUAGUCCUCUAUCCCCACACAGCUCUUUCAACCUACCAUUUUCUCUGGGUUGCACCCACAAGAACCGAACACCACUAUCACCCACACCAGCAGCAAUUUCAUCAAACUGUUCAUUGGAAACAGAAAGAAAGCUCCCUUGAGAAAUGUACAACACAGAGGCAGAGGGUUGGUUGUCAAGCCACUGAAAGUAGCCAUGUUUAGAGGCAUCAAUGUGGCCAUUGGCAAAACAAGGAAUGGCAGGGCCAACAGUGUAAAUAGGUAUAGAGAACUCUGCUUUCAAAGCAUCAAUGGCUUGAGGCUCAAGUUCAUAUAUGGUGGGGAAUAACAGAUAUUGCGCUUUCUGCACCCACGGUAUAACAUUCAAAGCCAAUUCCAACAAUCUUCGACUACGCCAACUUUCAUCACUGAGUGGAAAAUCUGCCAGACGAAUUGAUGAGUUCCCCGGAAUAUAAUCCACACGUUUCUCACCAUCUUCUGCAACAAAUAUCUUACUUUUUAAUUAUCACAUCAAGAACUGAUAUGUAGAAAUUGAGUGGAGAAAAAAGUAAAUCAACCUUAGAAUCUUGUAGAUAGAUACACAUGAUAUUAUAGUAUAGAACAAAUUUACACAAUUUUGAUAGAUAGAAUAUUAACACAAGGAGAAAAUUUGCGAGUUCCAUUGCAAGACAUAUAUAUAGAAAAAUUACCAUCUUAUAUACCACAACUCACAAAAUCUCUAUUCAAAUUCAUAAUCUGAAUGCUAAAAAAAGAUUUACAUCCCAAAAUUUAAACUUCAGACCGAUAAACAGUUCUGCUAUUUUUUCCUAGUUAAGAGAAUGUGAAGAGAUUCAACUAACAGACAAAUCAAGUGGAAAAAUUUAAUAAAGUAGUGUAAUUUUCCUUCAAUUUUACCGAAAUUAUUGGGUUUUAUGAGAUUCGUUUACUCUGUUUUUCUGUUUUAACAGAGCCUAUAUAUAACUUGUAUUCCUUUCACAUUAUAAUAUGAAUAUAAUACUUUUUCUUCCAUCUUAUCCUUUACCUUUUUUCUCUUUUCCACCGCAUAAUCUAAUGCGUCCACCGCACAAUCACAAUUCAAUACAUGUGUCAUCUCUCACACACAAUUAAGCAGCAAGAAAGAUCAUUGUGCUGCAUAAUGUGGGUCAUGGAGACCAUAUUCCAAUAUGGUAUCAGAGCGGGUUAAAGUCCCGCUCUGCUUCCGCUAUUUCUUUUGUUCUUGAUUCUGCUUCUUGUUUUUUUGUUUGUGAUUCGUGAUGGAAGCUAACACUAGCCGCAGUAAAGAUCCCAUCCAGAAUCAAGCAUUAGUCAAGGAAGAGGAAAAUUCAGGUAUCAAAACAAUGGUAAGCAGUGUACACAUUGUCACAGAUUGAAUCAUACCAUAGAUGAAUGUUAUUUCAAGUAUGGGUUUCCCCCUUGGUAUAAACAAAAAGGUGAAAAGAAUGAAAGAGUGACAAACAGUGUUGUGAUGGAUAAGAAUAUGAAAGUUGAAGAGGAGCAAGAAAAUAAGUCAGACGCAAAUAACGAGAAUCAGUUCACACAAGGUCAGAUAUAUCAAAUCAUGCAACUUAUCCAAGAAACAAAGAAAGAUUCGACGCAUAAGGUGAACAAUUUUGUGAAUGAUUCUUCAGAUGAGAACAUGCGAAAGGUAAGAACAAUGAAAAAUCUUGGGUUUUAGAUACAGGUGCCACAGAUCAUGUGAAUUAUUCUAUAAAUAAUUUUUUGACUUUUCCUAGAAUAAAUCCUAUUCGCAUUAGUUUGCCAAAUGGUUCACAUGUUGUUGCUUACGAUGGAGCAGUAGCAUUAUUUGAAAACUUUUUCCUAUAUAACAUAUUAUAUGUACCAGAAUUUGCUUUUAAUCUUGUUUCUGUGCAAAAACUGGUUAAAAAUCAUAACUGUAAACUCACUAUUACUUCUGAGUUUUGUCAGAUUCAAAAUGCGGAAUCAUUGAAGAUGAUUGGAUGUGCUAGGCUGAACAAAGGAUUAUAUCUUAUAAAUACAUCAAAGCAUGAAGUCACUAUCAAUACUGCAGGAAAUUUGAAUCAUCCAGAUCAAAGUGUUACAAAGAAUAUUUGGCAUCACAGGCUGGGACAUCCAUCUAAUAGAGUUUUACAGCAUAUGAGUAACAUUUUUCCUUAUAGUAGUUUCUAUGAAAAUAAACCGUGUGAUGUAUGUCAUUAUGCUAAGCAGCACAAACUUUCUUUCACUCAUAAUAGUACUCGUACUAAACACAUAUUUGAUAUGAUUCAUGUGGAUAAAUGGGGCCCUUUUGGGACUGCUUCUAUGCAUGGUCACAAGUUUUUUCUUACCAUAGUGGAUGAUCACAGUAGGUUCACUUGGGUUUAUCCUAUGAUAGCAAAAUCUGAAACUAGGGAUGCCUUAAGUAGAUUCAUUACUCUUAUAUAUAAUCAAUUUAAUACUGUCAUAAAGGCCAUCCAUUCUGAUAAUGGAAAUGAGUUUGCUUGUGCCACGUUGUAUGAAAGUUUGGGUAUCCUACAUCAAACUAGUUGUGUGGAAACACCACAACAAAACUCUGUUGUUGAGAGAAAACAUCAGCACAUUUUGAAUGUUACACGUAGUCUUUUAUUUCAGUCUAAUUUGCCUGUUGCUUUUUGGUCCUAUGCUGCGACUUAUGCCACACAUCUAAUAAACAGAAUACCUACUGAUGUUCUCGAGAUGCAAACUCCUUAUGAUUUGUUAUAUAAAGAACAACCCAAUCUUCAAAAUUUAAAGGUUUUUGGUUCUUUAUGUUUUGCUUCAAGUUUGCAAAGAAAUAGAUCUAAGCUAGAUCCGAGAGCAAGAAAAUGUAUUUUCCUUGGAUAUAAAACUGGUAUGAAGGGUUAUGUUGUGUUUAAUGUUCAUAAUAAGGAGAUUUUUGUGUCAAGAAAUGUAAACUUCUAUGAACCUGUUUUUCCCUAUACUGAAAAUAAUAAUUGUAACAAAGAAAAGGGUAAUCAGCAAAUUGAUGCUUUUGAUUUUAAUUUUGAACCUGUUGACACGAAUGAGAGUUGUCAUAUUGAUCAAACUGAGGAGAAUAUUACUGAAGAAAACAGCUUGCGAAGGUCUGAUAGACACAAAAGAUCUCCUAGCUAUCUCAAGGACUAUCAUUGCCAACUUUCUAGUCACAUUGACACCAAACGACUAAAUCAUUAUGGUAAAGUUCUUCAUUCCCUAUCUAUAUAUCUUGAUUAUGGCAAUCUAACUACUAAACACCUUAACUAUGUUUUAGCCAUAUCUUCUAAUGAAAAGAGCCGCAUAAUUACAAUGAAGCUAUACAAAAACUUGAAUGGUGUGAAGCCAUGGAAAAGAAAAUUAAAGCCUUGGAAGAAAAUGAAACAUGGAUUCUCACUGACCUUCCCCACGGCAAGCAACCCAUUGGAUGUAAGUGGGUGUACAAGAUAAAAUACAAUGCGAAAGGUGACAUAGAAAGGUACAAGGCAAGACUUGUCGCGAAAGGGUAUACGCGAAAGGGUAUACACAACUAGAAGGAAUAGAUUACUUGGACACUUUUUCUCCUGUGGUCAAACUUACAACUAUAAGAAUGUUGCUUGCCAUUGCUGCCACAGAGAAUUGGCACCUUAAACAACUAGAUGUGAACAAUGCGUUUCUGGAUGGGGAUCUAAAUGAGGAAGUCUACAUGCUUCCUCCACCUGGCAUCAAGGUUAAAACUGGACAGGUUUGCAAGCUAGUAAAAUCAUUAUAUGGUUUGAAACAAGCAAGACGACAAUGGUUUGCUAAGCUUACUUCAUCUCUUAACAAAAUUGGUUUCACUCAAUCUGUUAAUGAUCAUUCAUUAUUCAUAAGAAACUCUGAAAACAGUUUUACUAUAUUACUGGUAUAUGUGGAUGACAUUAUUCUUGCAGGAAAAUCUAUAUCAGACAUAGAACAAGUUACACGACACCUAGACAAAGUUUUUAAAGUAAAAGACUUGGGCGAUUUGAAGUUCUUUCUUGGUCUCGAGAUAGCCAAAUCUAAUAAGGGCAUUCAUGUUUCGCAAAGGAAAUAUGCUCUAGACAUCAUCAACGAUGUUGGUCUAAUUGUUGCUAAACCUUGUGCCACACCUAUGAUGAAGGAUACAAAGAACAUGUUUCGAGAAGGAAUUCCCAUAAAAGAUGUUACUGCUUAUCAAAGAAUCAUUGGGAGGCUAAUAUAUCUUACAAAUACCAGGCCCGACAUAAGCUAUUAUGUCCAGUUUCUAAGUCAAUUCCAGCGGGCACCAACUUCAGAACAUCACAGUGUUGCACACCAAGUUCUACGCUACAUUAAGGGAACUCCUGGACAAGGGCUUUUCUUCUCUGCCAGUUCUGAUCUCCAGCUUAAAGGUUUUUGUGAUUCAGAUUGGGCAAGCUGUCCACAAACUAGGUGAUCAACAACUGGUUUUUGUGUUUUUCUGGGCUAUUCGCCGAUUAGCUGGAAAUCCAAGAAACAGUCUACUGUGUCGUGAUCAUCAUCCGAAGCAGAAUAUCGUGCCCUCGCUACUUUAACCUGUGAGAUUCAGUGGCUGAAGUAUUUGAUCGAUGAGUUCAAGAUAAAGGUCCAGACUCCAGCUAUUGUCUAUUGUGAUAAUCAAUUCGCAAGGUAUAUAGCUCACAAUCCAAGCUUCCAUCAAAAACCGAAGCACAUAGAAAUAGAUUGCCAUGUCGUACGUGAAAAACUACAAUCCAAACUUUUCCAGCUGCUGCCAAUCUCCUCCAACCAUCAAACUGCUGAUGUUCUCACAAAACCACUUGAACGUGGUGAUUUUAUUUAUGCUAUUUCCAAGCUUGGGUUGAUCAACAUCUACCGCUAAGCUUGAGGGGAAUAUUGGGUUUUAUGAGAUUCGGUUACUCUGUUUUUCUGUUUUAAGAGAGCCUAUAUAUAACUUGUAUUCCUUUCACAUUAUAAUAUGAAUAUAAUACUUUUUCUUCCAUCUUAUCCUUUAUCCUUUUUCUCUUUUCCACCGCACAAUCACAAUUCAAUACAUGUGAAAUCUGUCACACACAAUUAAGCAGCAAGGAAGAUCAUUGUGCUGCAUAAUGUGGGUCAUGGAGACCAUAUUCCAAUAGAAAUGGACAAUUCCUAAAAGAAUUAGGAACAUUACCAACCUGGAUAAGUUGUGCUUGCAUGAGACAAUUUCAUUAUAAAGCAAGCAACUUCAUUAUAAAGAAGUCAUGUUACCUAAAGAAGACUUUCAAUCCCCCCAAUUGACCAACACGACGCAAAAGUGGUGUGACUCAUGCACAACUUUAAUCACAGUUAGAAUGAUGAAUACAAAGCUACUAAAUAUGACCCUCAAAGAAGACUUAGAAAACAAAGGAGAAGAUUACCUUGUGGUAGGUCUCUCAUAAAUAAAUUAUUUUCCUAAUGUAACAUUAUUAUGCUCAAAUUUAAUUUUAAUUUCCUUUCUUAUAUUAAUUUCCAUUCUUAACUUUCCUCUUAUUGUUUUUACCGUAAAAUUAUAAAUUGCUUUUUUUUUUCACUCUUCUACUAAAUAAUCAAACAUAAAGAAAUAUAUAAAUACAUAAAACUAAACUAUUUAAUUUCCAAGCUAACCCUAGUACUAUUUAAUUUCCAUGCAAAUCAUAACCAUAACAUAAUUAUACGAAAAUAAGCAUAUCAAGAUUUGGUCAUCUAAAACCUAAAGGAAAAGUUCAUAUUUUUGUAUCUAAAACUAUAAAAACCUAAAAAAAAACUAACACAAAAAAGUCGUGCAUGAUAAAAUGAUAUUUGUUAUUCUGAAGUAACAUAUGCUUGACUAAACAACUCAAACAAUUUUUAAAACAAACUUAAUGUAUCAUUUGUUGGGCUUCUCUAGUAAAAAGAAGUUGCCUCGAGCAACAUAUGUCCUUUUAACAAUUUACAAUUUUAUAUUCUGUUAAUUCAGACUUAAAUAUAAACUUAAUAAAAUAUUAUUUUUUAUUGUUAAGUUGCUCAAACAAAUUUUAAGAAACUCUACCAUACGCUAAGAUUGUAAAUUUAAAAAGAGUGUAAAUUUUCAACGAAAACUUCUAGAAUUAAAAAUGAAAAAAAUUCAAAUUGUUUACUGUUUUUAAUUCUUCUAAAAUGGGGGUGGAAAAAUUAAAAUCGAUUUUUCGGGAAUAGGAAAGGGCAGAUCCUCUUUCAUCAGCCAAACUGAUAAAAAAACAAUUCCAAGGGUGAAGAUGGUUCUAUUGGACCAACCCUAAUGAUUAUUAUAAUAAUUAAUAAAAAUAAUUAACUGGCUACAUUUAAUUCUUGUAGAGAGAUUGGUGAGUGAAGCUCUAGAACAGUCAUGGUAAUUUUCAAACAUGGUUUUGUGAGGGUAACUGACCUGAUACGUUUACAGGGUAGUGGCCGUUUCGCCGGAGAAGAUGGUAGUGUUUGAGCACGGCGAAAAACGACGCGGACAUGGGCCAAAACGACGCCACGGGAAUGUUUCUAGCGUUGGCGACGCGAACCACCCAGUAGAGGAAAGUGUCGUAUAUGAUUACUGUGGGUGGAAGGUGAAGACGGUUGAGGAAGUCUUCAAAGGGCGCCUCCAUUUUGGUCAUAACGGCUUCAAGGAAGGUGACGAAGUCCUUGGCUCGACCCUCUUCGGAUGGAAUAACGUUGGGGAUUGUGGCGAAUCGGAUGUUGUCGGGUUUGGUGUCGGAGUCGAUGAAGCCGAGCCAUUCUUCGGUGACGACGAAGGUUACCAGGAUUUGAGAGUUUUUGGAGAGGAGCAACUUGCAGAGGUUCAUCAUGGGAUUCACGUGACCUCGUCCUGGGUACGGCACCGCUACCACGUGGCAGGCCAUGGUUGGUGGUUGUUCAACCAGAUGCGCCAUAGAGAUAAGAACAGUGCAACAAGCAAUGUGAGCAGAGCACGUGACUAUUGAAUGAUCACUGCACCCUCCUCUGCAAUGUUCACAUACAAGUCUUCAAUGUUCUUGGUUGUGUCAAAGUCUCUCUUAUACUCUAUAACGACUAUUAAAACAGUAACUUUUUUUUUUUUUACUAUUUGGUGUAAUUUUUUUUUAUCUUUAAAAUUAAUUUCUGAUUAAUGUUUUUUUUUUUAGUGUAUGAUUCAAUUGUCAAGAGAACAUUUAAAAAAAUUGUAUGUAUGAAACACAAUUUUGAUUGCACUUACUCUUAUUUCUUUUUUUUUUUUUAAAUGAAGUCGUAUAAUAUUGACAGUGUAUUAAUUUUUGUGAUAUAAGUUUGAAGUUAUAUAAGAAUAAUAAAACUUUAAUAUGAUCUUAUUUGAAUUAAACUCAUGUAGAGAUGAUGUGAUUUCAGUUGUUCUUAUAUUUUAUUCAAGUCGCUUACCAUUUACUCAAAUUUUGCAUGAGAUUUUUUUUUUAAUUUAGUCUAUAGUUUUUAAUAUUAUUAUUUAUAUUAAUAUUAAUAUUCACAUUUAAAAAAAUGAUUAAUAUGUUAUUAUUGAUUGUUUAUAUGAAGAUAUUAUUUGUGAAAUUUAAAAAUUAAUAUUGUAUAUUUAUUAAAAAAAUAUAAGAUGAAUAAUUUAUUCAAUAAAAAAAUUAAUAUAUGUUAAAAUUAGAAAAAUUAAUAUAAGAUUUAUGAUUAGGGAUAAUAUGGAAAUUAGUUGUUUAAUUUAUGCAGUUAUAUAUUACUAUUUGUUUGAUUAUUUUGUUGGAUAAUUGGAGAAAAUGAAACUAUAAGUUAAUAGUACAAAAUAAAAAGAAAAAUAAAAAUAAUAAUAGAAAUUUGAAUUAAAUUUUAUUAUCAAUAUAUCAUGAUGUAAGUUCACUUCAUAAUAGAUUUUAUUAUGCCUUUUUAUUUAUCUAAGAUAUUGCAUUGUUUUUCAAUAGUACACCACCUCACAAAAGCUUGACCAACACAAUCUCAUUAUCUACAUGUUGAGUCUUCAUUUUGACCUUCAACAACUUUCUAUGUACACAUACAUUUUAAUAUUUAAAUAAUUAAUGAUAAAUUAUAAAGUAAUAAUUGAGUUAUUACGGACUAGUUUCCUUACGAUAAAUAAAAAUAACAGAAUAAUAUAGCAUAUAUAAUGUAGAAACAAGGUUUAUUUUGAUAAGUAGGUAUACAACAUAUAGAAUUAAAGAAGUGAGACUUUGAUCUUCAUUCAUUUAAAAAAAACAUAGUUCGUGUAUAGUAUGUUUCACGAAAACACUUAAGAAAUGAGUGAUUUUAUGUAAUAAAGGACUGAAAUAUUUUCAUAUUUUGAGUAAAAAUUAUGAUAACAUUUUUGUUUUUUAAAAUUACUUUUACACUUUUUUUAGCCAUUACCAUGGUCUCUUUUAUUAUGAGUGUAAAUAUAAUUUUAAAAUUCAGAAAAUUUACGAACAAUCUAAAAAAAGGGGAUACUAUUAAAAAAGGGAAAAGCUUACAAAGAAUUUAAAAAAAAAUAGGAUUAGUGUAAUUCGAAAAAGAAUGUGAGUAAUUUACCUUUCUCAUUUUCAGUUUUUCUUGUUAAACUUUGUCCUUCCACAAAUCAUCUUUAUUUUUUAACAAUUAAACACGCUUUAUAACGUCUCUAACAUUUGACUUGAGGAAUCCACUGCAAGUAUCUUUCUCGGAAAGAUGUUGGAAGAAACAAAAAACGUGUGGGGUCUAUCUAUAUGACUAGGAUUUUUUAUUUAUUUAAAACUUACUUGUUUCCCUUUAGUUUUUUGGACUUGAAAAUUUAGUUCUAUAAAUUUUUCAUCACAUUUUGUUAUUUUCUUCUAGUUUUUUAAUUCAUACAUAAAUUUAAAUUUAGUUAUAUAUAACUUGUCAAUUGAUAUUGUUAUAUCAAUUUAUUUGUUUUUUUUUAUCAAACAUAGAUAAAGAAAUAUAAUAGAUGUAAACAAUUAUGGUUUAAAAAACACAUGAAUGCUUAAAUGAGUAAAAAAAUAAAUGUUCAUAGAUUUGAAAUUUAUGAUAGUUUAUGAAUGUUUUGAAACUCAUGAUAUUCUACGAAGAUUUUCAAACUUGUGGUAUUUAACUAAGGCUUUGAAACUUAUGAAAUUUUAUGGAGGUUCUGAAACCCAUGGUAAUUAACAAGGUUUUUGUAAAUCCAUUAUAUUCUAUGAAGGUUCUGAAAUCGAUGAUAGUUAACACGGGUUUUAAAACCUUUGUUAAAUAGAGUCUUUUAUUGGGGUUUAAAAAAAACCCACGGAACACUUUCCCAACGAAUGGUUUUGCCUGUGGAAACUACAAUCUCAGCUAAAUGAUUUAACGUAGAUGUUAAUCCUUGGAAAUGUAAAAAUGAAGUUUUGUCAAAACCAUUUUUUUUAGUGAUAAUUAACAAUUAUAACAAUUUUCAUAAGUAACAAUUGUAACAUUUUUCAUCAGUAAGCAUUGUUAACAAGGUUAAGUGGAGUGAAGGUAACAUUCAAUUAAAAAAGAUUCAAUUAAAAAAGAUUAAUUUGAUGAACAUCAAGAUAGCAUUUAUGAUGAAAUCGUGUUUAAUUUAGGGUUCCAAUAAUUUUAACUUGCCCUGAUUAAUUAAGUUCUAAUGAUAAUUUUCAUUGAGUCCAAACUUAAAAUAUCUCAAUUAUUACAGUUAAUUAUCAACUUUUAAAACUAACCUUUUAUAGACUACCAAUCUUUCAAGAGUAUUUGUUCCAUAUUAGGUCUCAUUAAUAUUUGUUUCCUAACUUGCGAAGGACUAACAAAAAAUAUGGAUACAAGGCUUAUAGAAAGAAACUAAUAUUAAUUUUGUCAUUUUUAAUCUUUAGUUAUUUCUCUUUAUAGAUAUGUCUAGCCUUUAUUGACUUUUUAUUUUACAUUGUCUCUUUAGUUACUUAGAAUGAAUGUACUGCUUAUUUAUAUAUCCAGAUUCUUUGCUUUGAUUUAAGUAAAAAAAAUAAAAUAUAAUUCUUUCUCAUAUCUUUUUCUUUUUUUUUUCUCUUUUGUUCAUCUCUAUUAUAUUUUAUAAUAAUUUCUUAUGUAUUUUACCUUUUCUAAUUUUGUAGGGUUUGCAUUUUGGCUCAUUAAAUUUGUUAUUUUUUCUAUUUCUAAUAGUUGAGACUUUGAUUUUUAUUUAGAUUUAUCAUUUGGUGAAUACUAACUAUAAGGUUUUAAGUUUUAUAGGACAUAUAUUUGAUUUAUUAAUUAAAAAAUCAAUAUUUAAAUCAUUAAUAAUAAAUUAUAAAAUAAUAAUUGGAUUAUUAAGAAGUAGUUUUCUGAGAUAAAUGAAAAUAACAGAAUAAUAUAUAUGUAAUAUAGAAACAAAGUUUAUUUUAAUAAGUAGGUAUAAAAAAAGACAAAAUUAAAGAAGUCAGACUUUUAUCUUUAUUUAUUUCAAAAACAUAGUUCGUGUAACACUUAAGAACGAGUAAGUUUAUGUAUUAAAGGACUUAAAUAUUUUCAUAUUUUGAGUAAAAAAUAUGAUAAUAUUUCGUUUUCUUUUAAAAUUAGUUUUAUACUUUUUUUUACCCAUUACAAUAGUCUCUUUUAUUAUGAGUAUAAAUAUACGUUUAAAAUUUCAUAAAAUUUACGUGCAAUUUAAAAAAAUGGAAUAUUAUUAAAAAGGGAAAAACCUUACAAAGAAUUUAAAAAAAUUAGGAUAAGUGUAAAUCGAAAAAGAAUGUGAGUAUUACCUUUCUCAUUUUCAGUUUCUCUUGUAUAAUAACUUUCUCCUUCCACAAAUAAUCUUUAUAAUUUUUUAUUAUUGUAUUUUUUUUUUUUUAUAAAAUACCGUGUUAUGCGGGUACAUGGCGAGUUCUCUAACAUUUGAAUUGAGGACUCUUUCUGACAACCUUAGUCUACAAUUAUUUUGCUCUGAAAGUUCGUGGAAACCACCAGCAGAAAACGUGUGGGUUUUAUCUAUAUGAGUAGGUGUUAAUUGUGUAAGAAUUGUUGAGUUUAAAUUUACUUGUUUCCCUUUAGUUUUAGUUUUUUGAACUUGAAAUUUUAGUUCUAUAAAGUUUUCAUCACAUUAAGGGUUUCUCUCAUCCGAAAAUGGAGGCUCUCUGUUCGAGGUGGGUGAAUGGCUAGAGUUGGCUGAAGAAACCAAAGGUACAGAGACUUGUAUGUCUUGCUUCAUCUGUUGUGGGACUGAUCUGUUAUGCACUCAGUUCCACUUUCAAUCAUUUACUCGGAAACUGGAUCUGGUGGAAGAUGCUUCUUUAUAUUGUUUUCAUUUUCAUCAUUUGCCUUGCCGUCUGGUUCGCACCGGCAAGGUCCAGCUCCACCUCUCUCCGGCUUGAAGUUCAUUUAGCAUUUUUGGUUCUAAUACUGACUUCUGUUUAUUCCUUUUUGUUUGACAACGUGGUGAAGGGUAAAGCAGAUGCAUACAGCCUUAUCUCUUGUGCUGCUUUUGCUACCAUGUCGCUUGGCUUGUCAAAUCUGACUCAACUCGGAGUCCAGAUUGAUCUACUAUACUUCUUCUGUGGAAGUCUAAUAGUACAACUCAUGAAGAUCAAAUUGUGGUUAGUAAUUGUUGGAGGGGGGUUCAGUUAUUCCCUCCUCCAGCUUCGUUACUAUCCCCGCGACACACUAGGGGAGAAUCUUCAGCUCCAGGUCCAAAAUCAAGUAAUCAUUGAAGUUGAUGAUUCAGAGAGUCAAAUGUCACAACAUGCUAAUGCUGAUGUUGAUAGUACUCUAGCUACCUCACUAGAAGAUGGGGAUCUACUCACGCAAAGCAACUCACAUCCACAAGAUGAUGGUCUUAUCAUCCAACAACAACUCAUGAAUUGUAUAAAGGAGCUUGAGAAGGAGAAUCGGAUGGUUGUUCGCAUGGUUUGUAGUCACGUGGAGAAAUACUUUAAAGCCGUGUUGUGACGUGAACCGAUGACAAAACUUUAAUCCUCCAAAAAUUAACAUACACAGAAUUGUUUCACCCUUCUAGCCUGUCCUUAAGAAAACAUACGUAGGAGUAACCGAGUAAGAAGAAAACUCACCUUCCUUCCAGACCAGUUAUCAUCCAAAUCCAACUCAAUCCUCGAGCCUUUCAGAUUCUAUUCAUGAGAUUUUGAUUUUUUCUUAGAUUUAUCAUUAGCUGAAUGUUUGUUAAGGUUUUAUGUUUUAUAGGAGAUACAUUUUAUUUAUUAAUUAAAAAAUCAAUGUGUAAAUAAAUUAAUAAUAAAUUAUAAAAUAACAAGUGGGUUAUUAAUUAAGUAAUUUUCUAGCUAUAAAUGAAAAUAACAUAAUAAUAUGACAUAUAUAUACAAUCCCGUAUAAGAAUGGGAGCAGAGUGACCUUUUCCAUUUUCAGUCUCUAACACGUGUGGGGUCUGUAUCUGGGACUCACGUGUGGGUUCUCUAACUCUAUGACUCCGUCUGUGUAAUUGUGUAAGAGUAUAAAGCUUUGAUCACAGUGAGGGUUUCUGUAGUAAAAAAUAAAAAUGGAGUCUGUUUAUUUGAGAUGGCUGAAGAAACCAAUGGUACUGAGACUUGUAUGUCUUGCUUCAUCAGUUGUUGGAGUGAUCUGUUAUGCACUCAGUUCCACUUUCAACCAUUUACUGGGAAACUGGACCUGGUGGAAGAUCCUUCUUUACAUUGUUUUCAGUUUCAUCAUUUGCCUUGCCGUCUUCUUCUCACCGAAAAGGUCCAGCACCACCUCUCUCCGGCUGGAAGCUCAUUUAGCAUAUUUGGUUCUAAUAGUCACUUCUGUUUCUUCCUUUUUGUUUGAUAACGCGGCGAAGGGUAAACCAGAUGCAUUCAGCCUUAUCUCCUGUGCUGCUUUUGCUACCAUGCCGCUUGGCUUGUCAAAUCUGACUCAACUCGGAUUUUGGGUUGAUCUACUAUACUUCUUCUCUGGAAGUCUAAUAGUACAACUCAUGAAGAUGAACUUGUGGUUAGUCAUUGUUGGAGGGGGCUUCAGUUAUUGCCUCCUUCAGCUCCAACUUCGUUACCAUCCGCACGACACACAAGACCAUAAUAAUCUUCAGCUCCAGGUCCAAAAUCAAGUAAUCAUUCAAAUUGAUGAUUUAGAGAGGCAAAUCUCACAACAAGCUAAUGCUCAUGAUGUUGAUAGUACUGUAGGUACCUCACCAGAAGAUGGGGAUCUACUCAGGCAAAGCAAUUCACAUCCACAAGAUGAUGGUCUUAUCAUGCAACAACACCUCAUGAAUUGUAUAAAGGAGAAUCAGAUGUUGAGGAAAAUUAUUUACCCUAAGAAUGUGCAGACACCUGUUACCGACGGAGGGCUUCAUCUGAUGAUUACUAAAGAAGCAAUCCUUAGAUUGGCCUAUGUUUUUAGGAUCAAUAAACUCAGCCACAUAGGAAAAAAGAGGCAUGAUUUGAAAUUCGACCAUGAUUGGUUUCGACAAAAGGUGGAACAAAACUGCAACCUCUAUCUAAGGAAUAAGUUUUUGAAACUUGAGACAAAUGAGUCAGCGGAAGCAGAUUUGACAGCGGAGUUAAUGAAAGAUAAACUCCACUUUGAGGAGACAUGCACACUUCAAUCUACAUGGACUGUCUCUCAUAAACCACAGAGGGAACCAAUAGUAAAAUCCAUAGAACCCUUCUUAUAAAAAUGUUAUUAAAAAUUAUAGCAAUUUCAGUUUAAAUAUUUUUUUAUAAAGGUGACAUUAUAAAAAUAUCACUAAUAUAAAUAUUUUGUAACAUUCCAUUAAAUAUAUUACUAAAUUGUUUAAUAGAAAAUUUGUUACAUUACUGUCAAUAAUUGAGGUUUUAAGAAAUCUCACCACAAUGAUUUGUUGAAGGGAUUGACCUUUGAAAUAAAACUUCAAAUGUUUUAAUAACUAAAUUAAAUUUAUAAAAUUAAUGAUCUAGCUAAACUAUGAAAAAUAUAUAUAUCUCCUUCUUGGAUAAGGAAGGGAAUAACUAUUAGAAAUGAAAAAUACAAUACAAACUCAUUUCCUGAUUUAUAAUCAUCAUAUAUCCUGAGAUCAAAUUUUGAUACAUGAAUAAUUCACAUACCAAAAGGUAGAGUUAGAGUUUUAGAAAAAAUAUUUUUGAAAUAUCUCAAUUAAUCAAAAAAAAAAUCUAAAAAAAUUAUAAUAUAAAAGGUCUAUUACACAGAAUUUCAACAGUAUAAAAUGAUUCACAACUCUAACAGUCAAAUUACAAUAUUUAAAACUAAGAAGUUGAAAGAAAUGUCUAACAUUUCACCCGUAGUAACUUUACAUUCACUAUUUUCAUUAGUGAUUGGAUCAAAAUUUAGAAAUAUAAUUAUAGUUUUACAAUAAAAUUCCAAACCAAAAAUUCAAAAACAGGAAACUUGGAGAUGCCAUUAAAAGUCGUAGUUAUGCUUUAAUUUAUAGAGAACUACCGUUAUAUUUAGAAUCAAUUUGGAUUAAUUUCUCUAUAAUAAUAUAGUAGAAGAAAUUGAAUCAAACUUCUUUUGUAAUGUAAAAUAAACUUUUACAUUGUACGCAUGUAGUCUACUUAAUUCCUUUUCUUUUUCUCCUAGUACUUUAAAAAAGGUAUAUUCAAACUAAUAUUUUAAUUAUCAAAAUAUAUGUUGCUACUCAACUUCAUGAAUUACAGAUUAAGUUAUUAAAUCAUUUCGGCAUCUCAGUUGAACAAUAUCAAACGUUUGGCCAUUUCUUUUGGCAGGUGGUUCACUUGUGGUCACAUUUGCUAACUACACCCAACACUAGGCAAUUAUAUUAGUUUGUACAAGAAAGAAUUGUUUUAAUGGAGAUUAUUUAUUAUAUGUUAAUUAAUAUAACUUAAAAAUAGAUUUAAUUAACAACAGACAUAUUUUUAAUUUUGAUUAAAUUUUAUAAGAUUUUGUACUACCAACACUUAAAUAAUAGAGAUUUUAAAACAUCAUUUAGUGUUAGUGGAUGAAAAUGGCUAAAGUUUACUUUAUUGUUUAGUCUUAACUACCAAAUAACUGUGAAAUCACUUUAAUAAUAGGAUACACGUAAUAAAAAAUUAUUUCUAUUCUUAUUUACAUAAACGUAAAAAAAAUUUCUGCAGUGGCACAUGUUGAAACAACUAAAAGCUCUUGCCAAAUUCACAUACACCUCACAACUUUUUCUAGAUAAAAACAAAUUUGUUUUAGAACCUCACCAAAAUACUUCAAUCUUUUCAAGUUUCAAUAAAUAAAUAUAAUUAAAUAUUUUUUUAUAUAUAAAUAAUUUAAAAACAUAUAAUUUUAAUAUUCUUAUUUUAUUUUAUUUUGUUUUCCCUCUCUCUUUUUUUUGUUACUUUUCCUCUUUCUCUUCCACUAAACACGUAAUCCCUCACUCCCACUGCAUACUCACGCUCUCCUAACCCUUAAUCCUCUUUCUACCUCUGGUCCACCACGAAGCUGCUUCUGGCUUUCCUCCACCGGGAAACCACUUCUCUACAAACCGCGUUUCGUUCACGCAAGAUGUGUUCUGCGAUUUGUUGGAUUUCAAGGUACAAAAGGUGACUACCACUUCUGCAAUACACGUUUCAAGGUGAUUUUUGUUGGAUGAAUUGGCGUUUCCGUUUCCGUGCUGUGUUUUUUACUGGAUCCACGAACUGAUUUUUUACAGGAUGAAAUUCAUUUCUCGGUUCAGUUAGAGGUUCAAAACGUCAACUGAUUUUCUACGGUGUUUUAAUCAUCUGCAACUUGCUUAUGGUUCUGAAAUUUUGCAAGAGUGCAACGCUAUUCCCAGCUAAGUUCUGAAAUCACGUCUACUGAUUUUACUGCUUUGAGAACGAAAUCAGUAUUAAAGUUUUAUAGCAGUUCAGGGAGAUGAUCAAGGAUUACUUCUGUUCCAAUUCCUGUAAGUUGCUUCUUACUCAUCAUCUUAACUCUAGGUAAUUUAUUGUUUGUUACGGUAUUUUAGGAAUUCCUUUUUAACUUUAGUCUGAAUUAAAUAUAGAUUUUUAAACCAUAUAUCAAUCUAGGUUUAAAAAACAGUGAGAAGUGGACUAAUUAGUAUUUCUUUAGUACUUGAAGUGCAGAGUAUAGUAAACACGAUGCAAGAAAAAAGAAAACAGAGAAGAAAAGAAGGACGAGGGAGAUAAAAAGAGAACGAAGAGGUGUGUUUUACGUUUUGAUGUAUCUGAUAACUCUUUUUGCAGCUUUCAUAUGUGUUUCGUUUGGACAGUGCAUGAACCUUGAAAGAAUACUCACAACAUUUAGGAUGUCAGGUCUGGUUGUUGUUAAGUACAUCAGACAACCUAUCAAACUUCUAAACUUAGAUUCAUUAACCUUGUCAGAACCAUCAUCUUUGAUUAGCUUCUCCUUUUGAUUCAUGGGAGUGUUCACAGUUUUGCAAUCUUCCAUCAGAAAUUUCUUGAGUAUUUCCUUUGCAUGUUUUCUUUGACUUAAGAAAACUUCAUCCUGAUUCUGUUUGAUCUCAAUGCCAAGAAAGUAUGACAUAAGACCAAGAUCUGUCAUUUCAAAGACCUUUUUCAUUUCCAGUUUGAACUGGUUGAUUUCUUCAACAUUGCUUCCUGUAACUAACAUGACAUCCACAUAAAGAGAAAUUACCAAAAUAUUUGUACCUUGAUGUUUGACAUACAAUGUGAGUUCAGAUUGGCUUUUAUGAAAGCCAAGGUGCACCAGAUGAUCAUCAACCUUGUUGUACCAGGCUCGUGGAGCUAGCUUUAAUCCAUAUAAAUCCUUUUUCAAAAAGUAGACUUUAUUUUCAUUGCCCUCAUUCACAAAGCCUUCAGGUUGUUCAACAAAAAUUUCUUCUUGCAAAUCUCCAUUUAAGAAUGCAGAUUUAACAUCCAAAUGGUAUACUUUCCAGCUCCUUUGAGCAGCAAGAGCAAGCAAUAAUAUUACAGUGUCAAGCCUGGCAACAGGUGCAAAUGUCUUUGAAUAAUCAACACCAAAAACUUGUGCAUAUCCUUUCACAACAAGUCUUGCUUUGAAUUUGUUGAUAGAACCAUCAGGACUUAGCUUGGUUCUGAAAACCCAUCUUACUCCAAUUAUUUUUCUGUUUAGUCGACCAACCAACUCCCAGGUUUUAUUUUUCUCAAUCAUAGAAAGCUCCUCCUACAUUGCAGCCAUCCAGUGUUGACUGUUUUUUGCAUCGUGAAAUCCUGCAGGCUCACAAACAGCUACAUUGCACCUUUGACAGAUGUCAGACAAUAGUCUUGUUCCUCUGACAGGUGCAUCAUCAACUGUAGCAUCAUCUUCAGAUUCUUCAGUCAUGCUCCCAAGGGUUGAACUGUUUGGAGCAUUUGGACUUUGAUUCACCUUAGUUGAACUUUCCCAAUCCCAUUGUUCAUUUUCAACAAAAUGAACAUCUCUGCUUACAAUCACACGACCAAUUUGUGGCUGAAAAAUUUUGUAAGCUUUGGAUACAGUGCUAUAUCCAACAAAGAUGCUUGCUUAUGCUUUUUUAUCAAGCUUAUCACGCUUGACCUGUGGAAUAUAAGUGAAGCAAAGACAACCAAAUAUUUUGAGAAAUUUUAAAGAAGGUUUGUAGCCAUACCAAGCUUCAUAUGGUGUCAGAUCUUUCAAGGCUUUUGUAGAAAUUCGAUUUUGUAGGAAUACAACAGUGUUUGUUGCCUCCCCCCAUAACCCUUUUGGAAGAUUCUUUUCAUGGAGCAUACACCUUGUCAUCUCCAUAAUGAAUCUGUUCUUCCUUUCACUGACACCAUUCUGUCGAGGAGUAUAUGGUGUUGUUAAUUGAUGUUGAAUUCCAGCUUCUUCACAAAAUUUGUUGAAAGCAUCAGAGGUGUAUUCCUUGCCAUUGUCAGACCUUAUAAUCUGAAUUGAGCAUCCACUUUCAUUUUCAACUCUGGUUUUGAAUUUCCAGAAUAUACUGGGAACCUCUAACUUUUGUUUCAACAUGAAAAUCCAACACAUUCUUGUUAGAUCAUCAAUAAAAAUUAUGUAGUAGAGGUUACCAUUUAAUGAAGGUGUUCUCUGAGGACCACACAAAUCAGUGUGCACCAGUUGCAGCUUUUUCGAGGCUCUCCAAGCUUGUUUAGGGAAAGGUUGUCUGUGUUGCUUCCCAAAAUUGCAGGCAUGACAAGGAGGAAUAUUAUCAUCAAUGUCUGCGAGUCCUUCAACUAGCUUCUUUGAUUGCAUCUGAAACAAUCCUUGAUGAUGAAAGUGCCCAAGUCUUUUGUGCCAAAUCUCAGUGGCACUAGCUCUGGACUUGAAGGCCAUUUGUUCUUUCUCCAUUGGAUUUAAAGCAAAGCUUUUUCCUUUCAUUUUGACAUUGAACAAGUCUUUGCCACUAGCAUCUCUAAUCAAGCACUGUUUAUUCUCAAACAACACUUUAUAGCCUUUAUCGAGUAGGUGGCCAACACUUAAGAGAUUUUGAUCAAUUUUAGGUACAAAUAAAACAUCUGAAACAAAUUUUGUACCUUCAUAGCUUGCUAUAGCUACUGUGCCUUUUUCCCUUGACUUCCAAGAGUUCACCAUUUCCAAUUCUCACUCUCUUAACUUCAGUGUUUUUUAAUUCUUCGAAAAGCUCCUUGUCAUAUGUCAUAUGAUUUGUGCACCCACUGUCAAUCAACCAGCUCUCACUUGAUUCUCUACUUGAGAAACAAGUGACCACGAACAAUUGAUCUUCUUCUUGACCAACAACUUGUGCAUCUACUUCUUGCACCUGACCUUUGACUUUGCAGAUCACAGCUUCAUGUCCAAGUUGAUUGCAUUUGGAGCAUUUUGCAUCGGGUCUUCUCCAACACUUGUAUGGUGGAUGACCUUUCUUCUCACAGUGGCGGCAAGGUGGGUAGGAUUUUUUGGAACCUUCUUCCUUUUUUAAGUUUUUCUUCUUUUUGUACCUGUUGUUGUCUUGAUGCUUGACAGGUAAAGCUCCUUCAAUCACCCCUUCUUGCCUCAUAGACCUUCUUUGCUCUUGUGCUUGUAAAGCAUUCAAGAGCUCUGUAAGAGAGAUUUUUGACAGGUCUUAGGUGUUCUCCAGAGUAGUAAUGGUGGCUUCAAACUUCCCGGGAACAGUGACCUGCAGCUUUUCAACAAUCCUAGAGUCAAUACACACAGAACCAAGUAAUCUCACCUUAUUGGCAAUGCUGAGAAGUCUGUCAGAGUACUCCUUCAUUGACUCAAACUCCUUCCUCUUCUGCAACUCGAAAUCCUGAAUCAAAUUCAGGACUUUCAUUCCACGAAUCCUCUCAUCUCCUGCAAAUUCACCCUUGAGGUAAUCCCAAAUUUCCUUUGUUGUUUUGAGGGACAUUAUUCGUGUGAAGAUCAUUUGAGAUAUAACUGCAAAUAGGCAAGCUUUUUCCUUUGAUUUUAUGGUUUUUUUCUCCUUCUAUGCUUUGAUUUGUGCAACAGUAGGAUUUGCUGGAAGUGGAGGGACUUCGUAAUCUUCUUCUACUGCUUCCCAAAGAUCCAAAGCCUUCAGAUAAGUCUCCAUACGAAUUGCCCACAUUUGAUAAUUGUCUCCAUCAAAGACUGGUGGUGCAACAGCUGAAAAACUUGAUUCUCCUUCCAUUUUGACCUCACAGAUCCCUUAAGAAGAGUGCUUUGAUACCAAUUUGUUAGUUUCAAAACAAAUAAUAUUUGAUUGAUCAAUUGAGAUGAUAUAUUAAAGUUGGAAAGUUGUGCAUUUGUACACAGAAUGAAUAAAGAUUGUUCUAAAAAACAGAAAAUAAAUAUGGUAACAAACCAAUAGUUAAAACAGAAUUAAUUAAUUUUCUAAAAAUCUGGAGACUUAUUCAAUAACAAAAAAAAGCUAACUUGUAGGAUGUUAAACACAUGAUCCUAACAAACAUUCUUAAAUAUCAACUUUUUUUUAAAAGAACUAUAGAAAAGGUUUCAUAAAACCAAUAAAAGAAGAAAGAGUUUGGUUACUGACUUACCACGUCAAAAACAGCCUUAAGUUAACUUUCCUUUACCAUAAGCAACAAUCAAGUUGUCUAUGGUUCUGUUGUAAACUCCCAUCAGAUAAGAAAAUUUUGGUUAUUAUGUAGUGUUUCCAUUGCUUGAUACCACUUCCUUGGAAAGCAAAAACAAAAGGGACAUAAUUGAAAGCAUAUACACCUAUGUCUGAGAUUUGAUUAAGUACCUUAAACUUUCUAUCCAACCAGGGAAAGGUUCUCUGUAAGUAUUAGUAAUGAUUGUGGGACGUACAAUUACUAUAUUCAUGUUUCCCUUUGUAGUUCCUACAAUCAUUUCUCCCAUUGCCUUUGUAAAGACAUAGGUGUGUGGCCAUCCAUAUAUCGUUGCUCUAAUAAUUAGUCAUGAAACAACCAUCAUAUGGUAAUUGUAAAAAAUGAAAAUGUUACCUGAUACACACAAAAUUAUAGAUAAACUUGUGGAGGUAAUUUAAAUUGUUCAACAAAAGGAAGGUGGUGUGAUUAAAGUGGAAGUAGUAGAAUUGGAAGACCUUUUACUUCCCAAGUCCUUCAUGGCCAAUUCAAUAUCAUUGAAGGCAAGAUUUGAUUCGCUACCAUUCAAAUAAAGUUUGCAUCAUCAUGGGCACACAAUUUUUUAUUAUAUAAGCAAAGAAUUAAAUUAAGUAAAAGAUACUUUAUACAUAUCUCAACCCGUUUACGAAUAAAGAGAAUGAUACUAUCUAUAUCUAGAACGGGCACUAUUACCCUUCCUAAAGCUACCUACGAAGAAAAAAAACAAGAGCUUCUUAAAGCACCACCAGCAACAAUUCCUGCCAUUCCUCCGCCACUGCAAAAAAAAAAAACCUUACAUCACAAUGGAUCAUCAUGGGCACACACAUAUAUAUUAAAUAUGAGAUUCUGAUAUAACCAUGCAACAGAUACGACCUUAAGCAUAUAUAUUUACAAGGACAUAAAAUGAGCCAAAAAAUUUCAAGUUAGGCUUUAGCCAACAGAAAAGAAAAAAUUGUUGAUGAAGCAGUUAGGCAACUAACACAAUAAUGAUUUUUUUUCUAAAACUUAUCCACUCCAUUUCCAAUACAUGUACAUGACUUGGUAGCUUGCCAAAGUGAGGCCAUUGGUGUUCCAGUCACCAAAACUCAUCUUGCUCCCAAUUCAUGCAUCAGAAAAAAGAGUCUUCAUUAAGAUAACAAUGUAGUACUAGUACUACCACCAAUAAUACUCCUAUAUACAACCAUUUAUUUAUUGGUGGUCAAUAAUGGCCAUAUGCAUAUACUUAAAAAAGACUACAUGACAUACACUAUAUAUAAUAACACUACAAAAAAAAAUUAUGAAAUAAAAACAUAUUUUAGAAACAAAAAAUAAUUAGUUGCUAUAUUGACUAAAUUAGAGACUAUUUUAGAAACUAAAAAAAAAAAUUGGUUUCUAAAUUAAUUUAUAUUAUUGAUGAAUAAUUUCUAAAUUGGUAUCUAAGGUUUUUCUACUAAAUUUAGAAUCUAAAUAAUUGGUAGUUAAAAUCUUGGUAUAAACUAUUUAUCAAUAAUAGAAACUAAUUUAGAAACCAAUAAUUUUUUUAGUCUCUAAACUAUAUUUAAUUUAGUCAAUAUAGCAACUAGUUAUUUUUAGUCUAUAAAAUUGGUUUCUAUUUAAUAACUUUCUAGUAGUGUUGGUUUAUAUAAUUCCUAAUUUUUUUUGUUGCAAGCUCACACUUCAAAAAAAUGACUUAUUUUGUUUUAGCUUUUGAUGUACAUAUUUUUAUGUGUAAUUUUAGUUUUAGUUGUAAUUGUUAAUAUUUAAUUUUCAUAAUUUUGAAAUAUUUUAAAUUAAGGUCUUUAUUUUAAAAUGCAUCUAAUAAUUAAUUCACUGUGAGAGUGACAAAUGAUAAAGUUAAUUUCUCCUAGCAAUAUGUUUUAAUGCUCACAUCUAAUAGAUAAUGCAAUUAUUUAGGAUAUAUAAAGCAGUGAUAAACACCAAUGAUUGUCAAGUUAGGUAAUAGUGGCUUGUGAUCCGAGUUCGGACACUAAAGUGAUGGAAGAAGCAAUAUUGGAGUAAGAAGAAAAUAGUGUCUUAUUUAGGGUUUCUUCUCCUUAGAUAUAAUAGACAUAAGUGUGGCUGAAUUUUGAUUCCUUGUUAGGACUAUCGGUGACGGCCAUUAAACCUGUGUUGGAGAGCAGUGUGUCUGCGGUAGAAGAGAGAAGUCGGGAGGAUUGUUAGAGAUGGUGGAAAAUGGGGUUGAAGAUUUUUAAACUCGUGGUAUUUAACGGAGAUUUUGAAACUCAUAUUAUUUUACGGGAUGAUAUAUUUAUUGAUUUAUAUUUUCCUAGCGGUGUUAAUUUAAUUUUUUAGAAACUGAAAUAAAGUUAUCAAAAUUCUCUUCUUGAAGAGUGAAAACUCUCUCCCAGUUCUCUCAAAGAUGUCAAUUUUUUUUGGAGAAAAUGAUCCAUAAAUUUGAACUUGUAAUUUAAUAAAUAUAAAAAAAUUGUUUUUAAACUAAUCUACAUUUAUUGAUAUUUUUAGUAAUAUAGUAAUUGUGAAAAAUACAAACCAAUUUUAUUCUUUUUUUAUUUAUUUAAUUAAAAAGAGUUAACUAAAAAACAUUUAAAAAAAUUGAUACUAUAUUAAAGUAACAUUUAUUUACCAAAUGUCACAAUAUUAUGUUUAUUUUAUUUAUAGUAAUAUUUAUAUAUAAAAAAUGUUACUAAAACUUAUGUAUUGAAAAUGUAACUAAAAAUACAAAAAUGCUGUAGUGUAAUCCGGGUUAAGUUAGAGAUUCUAAAUUUACAACUUUCAAUUAUUGAAACACGUUUAUAAAUACUUUUUUUUAAACAUUACAAGAAAAUCAUGAAAUAAAAAUCAAUUUUUAAAGAUCAAAAUAAUUAGUUGGAAUAGUAACUAAAUUAGAGACAUUUUAGAAAUUAAAUAAAAAAAUUGGUUUCUAAAUUAGUUUCUAUUAUUGUUAAAUAGUUUCUAAAUUGGUAUCUAAUUAGCUAGUUUUAGAGACAAAAUUUAGAAACUAAAUAAUUGGUAGUUAAAACCUUAGUGACUAAUUAAAUACAAAUUUAAAAACUAUUUAAUAAUGAUAGAAACUAAUUUAGAAACAAAUUAUUUUUAGUUUCUAAAAUGAUUUCUAAUUUAGUUACUAUUGCAACUAAUUAUUUUCAUCUCUAAAACAAUAGCAUAUAAAUGCUAAAAGAAAAGGAAAAUGGUUUUUUGACACCAUUAUUCCACCCUACACCCCACUAAAUAUUAAUAUUUUAAUUUAUUUAAUUUUAAAAUUAUUUUAACAUUUUAUAUUUUAUUUAUAUUUUCAUUAAGGACUUUUUUUUAUUUUAUAAAUUUUUUUUAUUAUAAAUAUUAAUAUUUUGUUGGAUGGUAAAGUGGAUGUGAAAAUAUCAUCACCAAAAGAAAAAGUGUAAUUUGAAAAAGAAUGCAAGUAUUGUUGACCUUUUCCAUUUUCAGUUUCUCUUGUUAAACUUUGUCCUUCCACAAAUCAUCUUUAUUUAUUUUUUCCAAUUCAACACGCUUUAUGACGUCUCUGACACUGCAGGACUUAUCUAAAAACAUCAUAGUUUGUAUUUUAAUUUUUAAAACCUUUUCCGGUUCUCGGAAAGUUGGUGGAAAACCCCAAACAGAGAACGUGUGGGGUCUAUCUAUCUGUGUAACUGUGCAAGAGUUUUUAGUUUAAAUUUACUUUUUUUCCUUUUUAGUUUUUUGAACUUGAAAUUCUAGUUCUAUAAAGUUUUCAUGAGAUUGAGGGUUUCUCUCAUCCGAAAAUGGAGGCUCUGUGUUUGAGGUGGGUGAAUGGCUGGAGUUGGCUGAAGAAACCAAAGGUACAGAGACUUGUAUGUCUUGCUUCAUCUGUUGUUGGACUUAUUUGUUAUGCACUCAGUUCCACUUUCAACCGUUUACUGGGAAACUGGAGCUGGUGGAAGAUGCUUCUUUACAUUGUUUUCAGUUUCAUCAUUUUCCUUGCCGUCUGGUUCGCACCGCCAAGGUCCAGCUCCACCUCUCACCGGCUGAAAGCUCAUUUAGCAUUUUUUGUUCUAAUAAUCACUUCUGUUUAUUCCUUUUGGUUUGAUAACGUGGUGAAGGGUAAACCAGAUGCAUACAGCCUUAUCUCUUGUGCUGCUUUUGCUACCAUGUCGCUUGGCUUGUCAAAUCUGACUCAACUUGGAUUCCAGAUUGAUCUACUAUAUUUCUUCUGUGGAAGUCUAACAGUACAACUCAUGAAGAUCAAAUUGUGGUUAGUCAUUGUUGGAGGGGGCUUCAGUUAUUCCCUCCUCCAGCUUCGUUACUGUCCGCGCGACACAGAAGGGGAGAAUCUUCAGCUCCAGGUCCAAAAUCAAGUAACCAUUCAAAUAGAUGAUUCAGAGAGUCAAAUGUCACAAGAAGCUAAUGCUGAUGUUGGUAGUUCUGUAGGUACCUCACCAGAAGAUGCACAAGAGCAUCUACUCACUCAAAGCAAUUCGCUUCCACAAGAUGAUGGCGAAGUACCUCCCAAAACUAAAAGGAAAAAUUCGUCCGCAGAUCGACAUUUUCGACGCACCACAAGUGCAUAUAUUGUACGAAAAUGUGUCCCUGACGCCGACGACGGAACGAAUAGCAACCCUAUAUAAUUCUGAUGGCAGGCAUUGAUUCUCACGUGGCAGGCAUUGAUGACAUGAUUCAGAAUGUUUGUCAUUGCAGGAUAAAAAUUAAAAUUUGGAAGGUUGAAAAUAACGAGGGGGUGUUUUUUCGCAAAAAAAGUGAAAAGGUGAAAAGGGAAAGUUUGGGUUUAGAGUAUCACCGAAUAGUUUCUUGAAUCUGCCCAGCAAACAAAAAACAAAGGUGGGUUUUUAGGGUUGUAGUUUUGAUUUGUAAAUUGGUGAUAUUUUUGUUGAUGGUGGUGUCGUUUGGUAUUUGAUGACUGUUGGGUCCUAUGAUAUCAUAUGAAUUUCAUGAUCCCUUAUUAGUGUUUGUUUACCUAAUGAAAUCAUAGGUUGGUUUCGAUUAAUUAGUCCAUAAGACUUCGAUCUAAGACUAGGGAACUUGCGGUAUUAUAGUGGAGUUCAGAUCAUUUUUAGACUCUUGUGAAUAAGAAUAACUUCUUGACAUUUUACCAAGCCCAAAAUUAAAUCCACUAUGGAAAGUCAGGUAACGACAAUUAAGAUUAUCCGUACAUAAAGAUAAGUUCGUUUUAAUCUGUCACUCAAAGCUUAUGAAUGCAUCAGUUUUAGGAAAUGUCUCUAAUAAAUGCAUCAAGGUUCCCAUCUGAGGACCCACCUGUGCCAAUGGCUUUGAGACACGUGGCCCUGAUUUCCCUUGCCCUGCCUCUGAUCUGCUUUCCCUCUUGGCUUUCAUGAUCUAUAAACCUCUUAACCAGCUUUUCUAUCUUUUCUUUUGCCACAAUCUCUUCAAUGUCCAACUUCUCUUGUUCCACCUUACACCCAUUCCUCCACUCAUCUACAAUUUGGCUGCUAUUUGGAACUUGAUCCAAGAAAAGAGGGAAUGUGAGCAUUGGUACACCAGCAAAGAGAGCUUCAAGAGUGGAAUUCCAUCCACAAUGGCUCCAGAAUCCACCUACGGAAGAAUGAGACAACACCUUCAAUUGGUCACACCAUGGCACCACCACACCCUUAUCUCCACACUUGUCUUUCAACCAAGAAGCAUCCGCUCUAGCCACCCAAAGAUAACGAACGUUGCUACUGUUUAGUGCCUCAACAAUUUGAUCCAUUUGAGCACUAGACACUGAAAGGAAACUGCCCAAAGAAAUGUACAAUACCGAUUCAGGAGGCUGAGAAUCUAGCCAUUUUAUAUAGUCAGGGUUAUGAUCAUUGUUCACUGAAGAAGGGUUUUCUCCUAAUUCUAAAUAUGGUAUAGCAGGGCCAAUAGGAUAUAUUGGAAAUGGAAAUAUAGCUUUUAAGGAUUCAAUUGUUUCAGCUUCUAAUUCAUGGACUGUGGUGAGUAAAAGAUAAUUUGCUUUGGGAACCUUCGAAAUACAUUCCAAUGCAAGCUGCAGGACCCGUUGAUCAUUUUCAUGAAGCACAGUUCGAAGGUCUGCCAAAUGAGCCGAAGAAAUUCCAGGAAUGUUCUCUACUUCUCCAUCUGCAUCAUUUACAAAACCCCACAGAUAAGACAUGCACCUAUAUACAAUUGCAUUACCCUUUUGCACAUGAUUAGCAAUAGCGAAAGUUUCACCCUUUUAACAGUUAGAGAUUAAGACUGAUAUAAGCAAUCAUACUUGUAAAUUCUCACAACAUCCCAAAUUUAACAUUUGUCUUUCACAUAAAUGGCUUGUGCAUAAACCUUAAUUUUCUUCUUCAUGAUUUACCAGUGGGAAAGUAAAUAAACAAAAUCAGAUGUAAAAAAAGCGAUAUAUACCCAGCGUAUCUUUGUCAACGUUCAAACGCCGUUGUUGUGCAAAGACAUCAAGGUGAUGCAGCAUGGAGUAAAACGACGCCGACAUGGUCCAAAACGCAGCCACGGGAAUAUUCCUCCGAUUUGCAAGGGCGAUGGGCCAGCGCAGCUCAACGCAGCCUAGAAUCGCGGUCGGCGGCGGCUCGAGCCGAUCGAGGAGCCGAUCGAAGGGCGCUUCCAUGUUUGUCAUGACGGCUUCGUAGAAAGCGGGAAAAUUGGCGGCUUUGUGGCGCUCGUUAGGGACGACGUUGGGGAUGGCGGCGAAGCGAAUGGCUUCCGGCUUGGGAUCGGAGCCUAUAAAGCCGAGCCACUCCUCGGUGACCACGAAGGUUAUGAGAAUCUCCUUGGGUCUUCUCGAUGCCAGGAUCUUGCACAGGUUCAUCAUGGGGUUGAUGUGGCCUCUGCCCGGGAACGGCAUAGCCACCAAGUGGCAUACGCCGCCGCUUCCGCCGCCUCCGCCGGAGUUAUGCAUAGCCGGAGAAGUGGAUCAAUGAGUGUGAGUGUUGGGUUUGUUGUCUUCUGGAGUGUUCUAUGUAUUUGCAAUCUUCUUGACUGGUGCAGUUUCCAGUAUUAAACAACAACAUGGCUGCUUUAAAUAAUAAUUUAAACACUGUAGAGUUAGAUUCUUCAUCAAUAUAAUUUUAAUCAGAUCUUAUUUAUUUUCUAACUAAAACAUGUAUUAAUAUGAGAUCAAAUGUUAAAAUGCUAAUAAAUUAUGUUAGAAAAAGUACAUAACACAUUUUGAAUUGAGUAAUUGAUGUAUUCAAUCCUUAAUUAACAUUGGAGAUUAGACUGUUAUAAAUGAAAAAAUACGAUGGAAAGAAAUACAUUAUUAAAAAUAUCCAUAAAAUCUUUGGAUAAGAUUUAAUCAUUAAUAAAAUCGAAAUUACUUUGUAUUAAUAAUAUCUUUUUGUCUAUUAUGUUUUAAUUGGACACAGUCAUUUUAGUUGCUGAUGGUUAAAUUGUGUUUUUCCUUUAUUUGUUUAAUAAUAACAGACUUUAGAACAAGCUAAGCAAUCACACACAAAAUUAUUUGAAGAUUUGUCUUUAAUUAUUUAAUCACACAUAAAUUUUCAAAAUGCUUAUAGUUUCACUGGUGAAUGAAAAGUCGGUCUUUUAAUUUAAUUUUAGCUAGUGACGAAAAUGAAACGUCAGUGUCUAAAUUCAGUCAAUAGCAAAGUAAUAAUCAAUAUCUAAUUCUAUUUCAACUGUACUUUAAGGGGAACUCACGACAGGUCUUUUAAAAGUAUAAUAUAUUUACUAUACAAAUUUAUUUUCAUAAAACUAUAAGGAUUUAAAAUAAUACAUAAUAUGUAAUACAUAUGAAAAUUUACUAUCAUAUAAUUUUGAAAUAAUAAUAAAUAAUAUAGGUAAUUAUUAUUUAAUACAACGGAAAACUUUCCAUUUUUUUAUAAAGUCUAACACAUAAUCUAUAAAUAAGUAACAAAAAUAAAAAUAAUAAUAUUCUUGAUAAUUUAAAAAAUAUGAUUAAAUAAAAUAAUAAAAUAAUAUAGAAGUAAUAGUGUGAAAAUUAUUAUCGCUAAAUAUUUUAGGUGCUUUUGAUAGAAAUUUAUUGUUAAAUGCAUGAAAUUAUUUCAACGCAUUUAAAUUAAAUAAGUCAAUAAAUAAUUAGUUAAUAAAUAAAAAUAAAAUUAUAAACUAUUAAAAGAAACUACAUUUGUAAUCAAACUUAACAAUAUAAUAACAUAAAAUAUUAUAUUACAAUGUCACGAUAAAUUGUUGUCAAUACAUACCAUAAAAUACAACUAGUAAAUCUGGUAAUAAAAUUAUGAUAGUUAAUUAGAUAUCAAUUUAAAAAUUAUUUAAUAAUAAUAAAAAUUAAUUUAAAAAUCAAUUUUUUUUAAAUAUUUCUAAUUUAGUUAUUAUAAUAACUAAUUAUAUUUUGUCUUUUUAUAAUUUUCUUAAGAUAUUAGAAUUUUGGAUAAGAAAACUUUUUUAAAAUUAAAUAUUUUUGUAGUGGUACGUCAAUAAACUAAGCUUAUUUUGGAUAACAAACCUCUUUUAGAAUUAAAUAUUUUUGUAGUGAUAAAAUUCGUCAAGCGUCAAAGUCAAUUCUUAGUGUAAUGGUUUUAUUCAUCAAUUAAAUUCGUCCAUAAAGACCAUAAUAAUAUAAUAUUAUUAUUUAUAAUAAAAACAACUAUUAUUAUAAUAAUAAUAAUAUAUUAUAUAUUAUUAUUAUUAUCACCUUUAAUUACUUCUUUACUUUCAUAUUUACAAAAUUUUAUGGUUUAGUCUUAUGUAAACACAUUUGAAUUCCUUUUAAUAAGGUAUAAAACAAAAACAAAAUAAAAUAUAUAGAUUAAUGUAUGUGUAUGGAUUCAAAUGAGUUAAAAAGAUGUAUAAUUUGAAGCAAAUAGUUUACAAAGUGAGGAUUAAACAUAAAGAAUAUACAAACAAUGAAAUAUUAGAAAAUAAUGGAACAAAUGAAGGGAGAGGGUCAAUUAUUUCAUUGUGAUUGUUUGUUCCCACUAUAUAACAUGCGUACUUCAUACCAUUGAUGGAUACAUAACGUGGUAUGGUAGGAGCACAUGCAUUAUUAUUAUGCAACUACAUAAGUCCAUUGGUGAGAGAAAGUGAGAGAAAGAGAGAGAGAGAGAAAGAAACUUAGUUGAGAUAAGAUGGGAUGCACUUCACUACUGAGAAGCCCCAAGAAGGAAGAACAAGAGGUACCAGAUGCUUUCACCUCCUUGUUACCAAAUUCUAACCAAUCUUACACCUAUGAAGAUUUCAAUAUUUUGGAGGAACUGGAAGGGGUCUUCAACUCCAAGGAGGAACAAGAGUUGCUGCAACAGAACUCUUCAAGUGGGGAACUUCAUUGGGAUUUCAUGGAAUGGGAGGAAUUGGCCCCCUUUGGAGAGGAAGGAGAAGAUGAAAACGAAGGGAAAGAACAGGUGACAGAGAGCAUGAGCCAGUACCCUUUUGAGGAGCAGCAGAUAAAGAGAGAAAACAUAGUUGGGUUCUGGGAAAUGGAUGAUGAGAAGAUGCUGUCUUUGAACUUGAACUUGAACUAUCAAGAGGUUUUGGAUGCAUGGUCUAACCGAGGCUCUCUCUGGGCUGAUGAAUGCUCUCUUUCAUUGGCCACCAAUAAUAGCUGCUAUGUUAGUAUCUACCAUCCAUUAAUCUUAUCACAUGCUUCUUCCUCAAUCCUUUUACUUUACCUAUAUGCUUAUUCAAAUGCAUGCCUGCAAUUAAUAACUUGCAUAUCUUCAAUUCUUUUAGUGUUUGAUAGAUAUGCAGUGAUUGGAAUUCCUUUGGGUAUGAUUUUAGUAUUAACAGGUAGUUUUAGUUUUAGGUAUGUGUACUUAUUUUUGGAUAACUCCAACGUUAAUUUUUGGAUGUUUUUGUUACUUUGUGUAUGGUAAUAUAUAUAUAGAGAGAGAGUAGCAAUGAAUGAUAUAUGAUUGUGGUUUAGAAUGGAGAAGUGCCAGUGUUGGAAGAAGAGAGAGCAAGAAGAGAAGCAAGUGUUCUUAGAUACAAAGAGAAGCGUCAGAACAGAUUGUUCUCAAAGAAGAUAAGAUACCAAGUUCGGAAACUAAACGCUGAUAAAAGACCAAGAAUCAAGGUCUUUCACUUAUGAAUUUUGUGUUUCUUUUGGUGCCAUUGGGUUUUGCAGUAUGGUCAUUUUGUUUUGUUAUGAAAGCAGCUUUUCCGAUAUUUUUGUUGUAGGGUCGCUUUGUGAAGAGACACUGAAGUUGCUCCACAAAGAUCUCAAACCCAAAAUAUCUCCCAAAAUAUCUAAUGCCACUGUACAUUUCUUUUCAACUUCAAACAUUAUUUUCUUGUAUUUAUCCAUUCAAAUUAUCUCUACACAACUUCAAAAAAAGGAAAGAAAAAAGAAAUCAACUUCACUGCUUCUGAUCUCAGUAUAAAAUUCAUUCCAUUUCAAAUAUAUAAGAAAGAAAAACAAUUUUGGAAUUUCAUGCGUCUUCAUGUCCACGCUUGUUGUUUAUCUUUACUUUACUAUUUUGAUCUUAUGUGUAGAAAUUGUAAAUUUUAAGGUUUAGAUGAACAAAUUUAACGUCAAAAUAAUAAAACAGAUUAAACCUUAACUCUCUUGUUCUUGUCUUUCUCCUUUGCCAAUUUCCAAGGUUGAUGGUCCUAAUUUAUUGAUUCCAACUUUCAUUUGGAUAUACCCACCCAUCAGUCAUCAAAAAGAGAAAAAUAAAACACACUCACAAGAAAAAAAAGAAAAAGAAUAUGGUGGAUCUACCACCGUCUACUUCUUUUUCAUUUUCCUUUUUCUGGGUACAAAAGUGGUUUAUGAUUUGGUAUGAUUUGAUUUGGUACAAAAGUGGUUUUAGAUUCGAUUCUCAAAUCAUAUAAUAUUCCACAAGAACUUCAUAUUACUCAAAUUAAUCUUCUUUUGAUUAGUUUCUUUACAAAUCUAUCUUUUGGGGUUCUAAUAAUAUAGCAUUUUAUUUUUGCCAAUUUAGUUGAGUGAUGAACUUUUUCGCUAAGUUUGGUACCUUAAACAUGUAAGCAUGACAUAUCUUGCAAGUGAACUAGAAAAAAUAAAUGUCUAUUUUUUUUCUGAAUUAUGUCAGUGAGAGAUAUUUUCAUGUUACUUUCUGAAUGUUGACUUGUUCAAAGUACAAUUGUUGUAAUGAAUAUAGAUUCCCUCUCUGGUCAAGUAUGACAUAAAGAAAUUGUUAGGAAUUUUGUUACGUAUUGAAAUGCUCAUUUUAGUGAAUUAUAUUUUAUAUUUCUUUUUUGGAAAAUGUUUUCUCCUAUUUUAUUUUAGCUAAAAAAAGGUUAAGUAUACUUCCACUUGUAAUUUUACGCAAAGAUUAAUUUUCGUCUCUGGUCUAAGACCUUCUAGGUAUAGUUAAAAAAUUAUUAAAACAAAAUAUUAUAAUAUUAAUCAUAAAAAUUUGGUUAUCUCGUAUAAGAAUAUAAUAAUUUUUUUAUUACAAAUAUCAUAAAAAUUUAAAGUUUGAAUUAUAAACAAAAUCAAUUUCAAAUACCGGAACAUAAAAAUUAUAUUUAAUCCUUUAAAUAAUCAUAAUAUUUUGAUAUAUAUAUCUAUCCAACAACUCAAUAAAUUAAUAUUUAUUUUAUUUUUUAUUUAAAAUAUAUAUAUAUAUAUAUGUAUAUAUUAUAAUGAGUUGUCAAACCAAUGUUUUUAAUUUUUUAAGGUGUUAAAGUAUUUUUUUUAUUCUAAAAUAUAUACUCUUGUUUUUUUUAUAAGUAUGAUAUUGAUACAGAAUAGUUAUUAAAGAUUUUUUUUCAUACUAACACAUCAAAUAGAACAACUUAAUAUUGUACAAGUGAUUUCUAUGUUAAUUAUCAAUUAUCAACUUACCAUCUUUGAUCAUAUCACAAUAUUGACGAAUAAUAGAAUCUCAAUCAAUUACUUAUGAACUUAGUUUUUGAUCUUCAUAAAUGAAAAUGACCUCUCAUAUAAAGCAACUUUCAUGAAACGCAAAAAGUCAAUAUUGUUUUCACUAAUGUUAGCAUAUUAGAAAUUGUUAAUAGAUUAGAGAUAUCAAAAUAAAAUGUGUUAUGCAAAACAGUCUCUUCAAAUGAUUUUCUCUAUAUACGUUUAUCAAAGAUAAAAUUCUCUAAUAAAUUAGCUAAAAAUAAAAAUUUAUAAAAAAUAUAUGAGAAAUUUUUUACAAAUUAAUUAAUAUAGAAAUUAGUUUCAGGUUUUAUUCUUAUUUUUUUUGUCUUGUAAGCAUUUGUUGAGAAACUUGUCAAAACUAGUCCCAAUUAUUUUUCCUAAUUAUAUUAAGCAAUAUACCUUUUCCCGAAAAUUAAAAGUUAAAAAUAAGGAGACUCAUGAGGUUUGGGCUUCACGUAUACUCCUUUUCUAAUUUAAGUUUUUUUAAAAACCUAGCCCAUCCAUUCGCCACUUUUGUUAUUUGCCACUCGUGUUUUUCAUAUAUGCACCACUAUUUUCUGAAAAGCCUGGGUCCAUUAAAAUAUCCAACAUAUUUAUUAUUUACCACAUACUUUUUUAAAUAUAAAUCGUAUUAUAAAAAUCAUCAAUAAUUUGUUACGACAGAAAAACCAAAAACGUUAAAUAUAAUCCAAUUAAAAAUAAUUUUUUCAAGUAAUAUAUUGGGUCAAUUAUUUAAUGGAUUAAUUAAUUUGUUCUCUAAAUUGUGAUCCUCUUGUUUUACCGUUUUUUCUUACUCAUAAGCACAUGCAUAUGCCACUUUUUUCUUUUCCCUCUCCCUUUAUCAUAUUAACACGCCUGAAUAUACAACAUGCCUGAAUAGGCAUAUUCUGUGUGAAGUUGACCGACAUAUAUAAAUUAAGACCAAAAUAUGUGAAUAAAAGAGAGGAAAGUGAACCAAAAUAAAUUAAGUCCAUAAAGACUUUAUGUUAAAUGAGUCUUUUUCAGAUACAAUGAAGGUAAGAUAUAAAUGAGAGACAAAAUUCGUAGUUAAAUUUUUUUCAUCAGAAAAGAAAUUCGUAGUUAUAUAUUGUCAUGGUUAUAUAGCAUUGGUGAAGGUAAAUUCUUGCUGCUUUUUUAUGCUGAGAAUCUCUUCCUGAACUACUGCAAGCUGCAUUUGUAACUCAGAAACUUGAAUUUCUAGGUUAGAUAUGAUUCCAACACAACCAUAAACAGGGUUUCUGACUCUUGCAUUUGCCUCAUAAACUAAACUCUUCACUGCAUCUCCUCUUUGAUCAACUGGAACAUCCUGCAUGCAAAAACAUACAAAAACAAGUUAAGAACUGCAUUGAACCUAAGAAAUAUUUAACUGUAGGUUAAUAUUACAUAUUGUAAAUUGUUGAUCAUCUCUUAGUGAAGUUCUUUUAGCUUGAUUAUAAAACAAAAAUAGAUAUAUUAAACUGAUCAAACCUUUAGCAUUUUGAUGAUAUUGCUGCAGCCAAAGACCUUGUGCACAAUGGCAAAGUUGCAGAGAUCAUUGGAAGGAAAAUAAGGAGCAAAGAUGCAAUCCUGAGAGCAACGGCGUCUCAAGAACUUGCAGGAAGCACAAGGGGAAGAAUUACCACCCAUUUCAAAAUCCAAGAUUCGAUGUUGACCACCCCAGAAGCAAAGUGUUUUUGGUUUUUCCUGAAUCCGAAUUUAUAUGUGCAAGAAAUUAAUGUAACAUGUAACAUGUUUAUAAUGAUGUUGUGAUUACAGUGUCUUGUCUAACAAGAACAGUUGUCAUAUUUGACGUAUAUUGUUGAAAGUAUUUACGUGUCUGAAAGUAGUUUGUUGAAAGUAUUUACGUGUCUGAAAGUAGUUUGAAUAUCGACAUUAACCAGUAGAAUAACGCUUUUGAAGGAAUAGAAUAAAUGGACUGAAUGUGGGAAACAUGAUUUCAGAGAUGAUAAUUUCACAUUGUUUAACGCACUUGCCUUAGGGUUUAGGGCUUCUUUCUUCCUGUUAUUCUCUUAUAUUCGAGCUUCAUCACCUGCAAAAAAAUUAUUAAACUUUUAAAUAAGAAAUAAGUGUUUCAUAUGUUGAUGUCAUAAAUACAAAAUAAUUAACUUUAUCUUGUUGUGUGUAAUUAUAUGAUUUUGACAGUAUUUUAUGAUUGAGCAAAGAUUAGCAUAUGUAUUAUAAUUAAGGAUGUAUUAACUAGUUUUUCUUAUAAUUUAAUUUAUGUAAAUAUCAAUUUAUUUUAAUAUAUUUUUCAUAUGUUAAUGGAUAUUAGGAUAUCAUGGGACCAUUUGCCCCUUAACUAUACAAGAAUUUAUAAAAUAAAUAAAUAAAACAAGUAAACUUCUUCAAUACAUUAAAUUAAUUUGUCCAUCUCUUUUUUCUUAAAAAAUUAGUUAAGGGUUUUUCUUUUAUAAAAGUUAGUAUGUAAACUAAUUUUAAAUUAAUUUUAAUUUACAAUUUUUUUUAAUAUAUCUUAUCUUCCUAUUUUAACAAAGAUUAAUGAAAAAGUAAAUAUUUUUGUGUGUAUUUUUCAAUUGGAAAUAAAUUUUAUGAUAAUAUUCGUGAAUUAAAUAUUUUUUCUUGAUAAAAAAAAAUUGUAACUAUAAUAAUCUUAAUGUUUAAGAUGGAAGAUGAAUUUAAGUGGAGUACCCAAAUAUCUCUAUAUUUAUAUAUUAUUUUUUAUCAAUAAAAUAAAUAAAUAAAUACUGUCUCAAGUAUUUAUAAUUUUUAGUUAUUUUUUUUAUCUUUCUUGUUUGUGAUAUUGAAAGUGCUUAUUUCAACUAAUCAAAGUGAGAUUUAUUUGACCAUCACUUUCAAUCCCUUUAAGUAAUUUCUUAGAUCAUGUUGAUCACAUGUUAAAGAAUGAUGUGAAUGCUAUUAAUUUGCCUUUUUUUCCAAUGUAUAUGAAAAUGCUACAAUUUGAGAAGGCAGAGUUACCUAAAUGUUAAAAUGUAAGCCUAAUAGUAACUUAGUUUCUGCAUCAACAUAUAACUAUCCAACUAAUUUGACUUCUCAUUAAUUCAACACGUUUAACUUAAAAAAACUUAUACGUGGCGUGUUUUGAAACUUUAUUAAUUUUUAGUUCAAAAUAUUUUUAAAAAAUUAUAAUUAAAUUGAAUUUUAUGUAGAAUGAAAAUAUAAAACAGGAUAAAUAAUUGAUUCUCUACAAUAACACAAUAAGUAAUGAGAUGUUUUGUUUUUAAUACAAUAAAAAAAAUUACAAUAUUACUAGAAAUUUUUUAAUUCUAUUAUAUUUUAUUAAACUUGGUUAAUGAUUGAGAUAAUUGAAUACAUUUAGUUUUUAUAAUUAUCACGGUUGUUCAUUAAAUAAAAAUUUAAUAUUAAUAUACUAUUAGCUUGAAAUAUGUUUUAUUUUUUAUUUUGUUAAUUUAAAUUUUUUAAUGAUUUUUUUAAAAAAAACAGAUUAUAAAAUCAAGAAAAGGUAUUUCUAAAUUUAAGAAUCAGAAAGUGGUAAUACUUUCCAAAUUUUAUUUUAAAUAAAAGAAAUAUUUUAAAUUGUAAAAUGAUAUUUCCGAAUCUGAGAAUAACAUCCUACAAUUCAAAAAGUAUAAAUAGAAAAAAAAUAUUUUUUAUAUUAUAAAAUUUAGAAUAUAUUUUUUUAAAAUAUUUUUUCUUCUAACUUAUGAGGGUGCCAAAGAUGUGGAGCAGGAAGAAAGAGUUAAAAAAAUUCAAGACAAAUGAAGAACUAUUUGUAUAAGAGAAAACAACCUUCUCGUCCUUUAUUCUAAUUUGAUUUAUAUUUUACCUGACUUUGAAGGUUAAAAAUGUAUAAAAUUAUAUUUUUAUUUCAGUAAAUAUUAUAUAGAAUUAAAAUAUUUAAUAUAUUAUUAUUAUUUAUUGGCAACUUCAGUUAACCGUUAAAUCUAUAAUUUUAAGGAUUGAAUGACCUGUCCAAUUUUAAAAAUAUUGAUCACAUACAAUUUUCAAUUACAGAACCUCUGAGUUUAUAUUUUUACAUACUUCUUCGAUUUCUUAUGUCCAUCCACCCUAAGACAUAACAUUCAUCCACCUAAGACAUAACGUUUCUAGUAAUAAUAUACUAACAACCCAUAUUUUUUAUGUAACUCUCAAUAUUAUUGUUUUAAUAUUUUUUUAUAUCAUUUAAUUAUAAAUUUAUAUCAAGCAUCAUUUUACUCAUGUUUAAUACUUGAAUCGUAAUGUUUAAUAUUUGAAUCGUAACUCAAUUAGGUAGAGCUUGCAGCGUUAUAUUCGCUUCUCACUAAACUCAAUUUUCUAAUAUCUUUUAUCAUAACCAAGCUUCAAUUACCAAAGGUGUUUUUGCAGAAUAGAAACCCCUUCAAACUUAUAAAAGGAAGACUAUAUAAUCCAAUUACAUAAACAAGCACGAAAAUUUGCGUUUAAGCUAAAAUCUCAGUCAGGUACUUUUAAGCUUUUAAAAAAAACAAAUUAGCCUUCUGAAUUUUAACAAGUGCUAAAGAAUGAAAUAUACAAGAAAAUUGAACCUUCGUAGACUACCUGAACUGGUUACAAGAAUGAUAAUAAUAAACACGGUGAUUAUACAAACUUUAAAUUUAUGAACAUUUUCAGAUAUCAGUAAAGUAAAAUUAUAUGCGCUAUGUUGAGUAAGUUUCAUUUGGGGGAAAGAGACAUUGCAUUCCUAAGUUACAUUUCUUUUAACUCUUUCAAAAAUUACAGCAUCGCCAGAAGUUACAUUUCUUUUAACUCUUUCAAAAAUUACAGCAUCGCCAGAAGCCUAUCUAGGUACUUGCGUACGUUGGUGAUCAUAAGAAUGAUGUAAGGGUGCUCCGGUUGUAUCUUGAGAAUGUGAGUCAACCCCAGCUUGCAUCUGAAAAGUUAAGCAAAUUCGAAUUAUUUGAGGUUAUGCGAAGGUAAUAUAUUAGGAACACAGUUAAAUAUGGAAACAAAAUAUCCACUUGGAUACAUACAUUCAGCAAUAGAAUACAGGUCAGUAGCAGAGCAAGUUUUUGUUCCCAAGAAAUAAGAUGACUUCAAAGACGAAAACAAGAAAAGAAAGUUGGGAUUAAGCCAAUGGAAGUGCGUCAAAUGACCAAAUCGGCAGCAAUUUCCUAUUUUGUAAAGUUCGAUCUUCUUUUAUCAUCAUUGUAAAGUUAAAUGCUAAUAAACAUUAGAAUUUUUUUAUUUUUCGAUUUAAUAAAAACAAAUGUUAGUAUUCAAGAGUCAUUUGUAUUGUUAGACCUUUUUAAGUGAACAGUGAGUGAUAUUUCAGAUUCAGACUGGGGACUCAUUUACGUCCUGCUUGGUUUUGAAGGGGAAUAUAAAUAGAGAAUAAAUAGAAAACAAAAAAAAUUGAAUGUUUAAUUAUUUUGUAGAGUAGGAAUAGAAAUAAAGUAUUUGGAAAACUGUGUAGGUUGGUCUAUUUAAUAAGAAAUAAAAAGAGAGAUGAAGAGAUUAAUAAAAAUAGAUAAGAAACAAUAGUGGAUCUCCUAAUUUAUAAAAAUUGUUUCCUUUCUUUUCUCCUUCCACCCAACACACGAUAUUAAUUCUCUUCAUCUUUCCACCUCCACUCUACCGAUCAAGGCAGAGUUCUGCUCAUGUAAAUUGACAACAUAAUUAAUCUAGUGUAGGGCUCGGCGUUUAGGAAAAGAUUUGACAGGCGUAACCAAAACAAAUAGGCAGUUGCUUUCUGCAUCCCAAAAAUUUCUUGUUGACAUAUCUGGAAUGUUUUUCUACCUUCUCCAGUCCAGAAGUCACCAAAUCAGAAUGAACUUUUUAUAUCGCCAAAUAUGACUUUACAUUCCAAAUUGGUCAAUCCCAAAUAUGAUUUUGCAUUCUGAAUUGAGGAAUCAGAAUGGUGAAAAGAUUCAGAGAAUUUAUUUUAGGUGCAGAAAGCAACUGCUAAACAAAUAUAAAUUGUUUCUACAUAUUUUUUAUGGAUUUGAAGUGAAAAAACACAAUGUUCAUUCAUAAAUCAGAACCAGAUUCACACUGCGAGACUAGCCUGUAAAAGGCAUAUCAAACUUGUAAGAGUGGGGUAUACAUACCUGAUGCAUGCUAUAAGAACUAGGAGGGUAUCUGACUCCUCCAUAUAUCUCACGAUUGUCAUAGUUAUCAGGAGGAUAUCCAGGACCUGUAUAGAAACAAAUCCAUAGAUUUAUAAUAUGCAUCUAGAAAGAAUUAAAAAUAUAUGUUAUCGCUAAAAAAUUGUAGUCUCUGAAAAAGUAUUGAAAAAACGCACUAUAUCAUAAAAUAGCCUUUUCCAAAGCUUAUACAAAUGGAUUCAAACUUUCUAACUUGAGAGAGAAUCAUUAAAAUAACCAACUUUUUGAGGUUUUAUUUAUCAUGAUAAUUUUAAGAAUGUGUUUUCUAAUUAAAAAUAUUUUUCUUCUUUUUAAAAAAAUUAAACAGUUCCCCCCUGAAGAACAAAGUUUAACCAAGUUUUCAAGUUAUACUUCUGUUGUAUUAAUUAAGAACUUAAGAUGAACGACCAAGAAAGUUAAAUUACUUGGUUUAGCAUCUGCAGCCAUUGCAGCCCUUGCCCUCUUUUCUGCAUUAGCCAACUCAGCACGUAACUUUUCAACCUCACUGGACAUUAUAAUCAUAUUGUUGUCCAUUGCCCGUCUGUGUUCAAGGUUACUAGCAUGUGUCUUCUUCUCAAAUUCAAUAGCAUUCCUGUAUUCAACAAUAAAUGAAAAUGUAAAGCAUGCACAUUGCACAAUAUUUCAGACUAAGUGAACUUUUUCCCUUGCAUCUGAUAAGAUGCAGGAAAUAUCACUCUUCCAACAGGAAAAGACAGAUUAGUUGAAUUAGGAAGCCUGGAAUCAGUAGAUACACAGGCAAUAACAAAAUCUAGUUAGUUAGUCAGAUUAAAUCUUAUUUUGUUAUAUAGGCUGACAAGUAUCUGAACUAAUCACAGGAUUCAAUAUAAGAAAUCAAAAUAAACAAAGAAUGAUAUAUAAAUCUGACAUGCUUCUGUACACAGUGAACAAUACCCAUCAACAUUAGUUUUUACAGUUUUUACCUCUUCUGCGAACCCCAUGGUGGCAUCAUCAAGUUUCAAAGUUCAAAGGAACUCAGACGCCAGCAUCAGGAUUUUAGAAUCAGCAGACUCAAUGCAUUCAGAGAGUCAUAGUCUAACUAGUAAAUAAAUCAUAAACCAAUGGACUGAUAAUACAAAAUAAAUCACAAAAGCUAGUGUACAGAGAAACAAAGAGUAAUGGUGAAAAACAAAAUGGUUAUAUAGGUUGUUUGGUUUAAGAGAAUAGUAGUAAUAAUAAAUUCUGAAAUUGCUUGAUUAAAUAGAGAAAAGAAAAGAAAUUAAUAUAUUAAUAAAAAUACUAUAUUAUCCUUCUUUGAUUUUUACAUUUACAGGCAUAAUUGACUAUAAAAGACUGUGUAAUCAAUUAUUUGUUGACAUAUAUCAACAUAUAAUUGACUAUACAAUUUACAUAAUUGAUUAUAUGAUCAUGUUGCAUUAACACCUUCAUCUCUAUUUGCGGGUAACUGUUGCGUGCGUGGAGACCCUCACCCUCCAUUUUUGUUUAUAGCAGAUAUCAUAUAUGUUCCUCACUAUUCACAUGCACACGCAAAGAAACUUUAAAGAAAUAGACAAAAUUCCCUUUUAGUUUCUGUUAUUUUUAAUUGGAUAGGAAUUAGAGAUUUUUAGUAAUCUAUUAUGCUAUAUGCAUAACUGAUUAUGUUUGAAUACACAAUCUAGUUUAACUAAUACUGUCCAUGAGCCUCACAAGGGUAGAGCCAUAAACAAUAUAUGAAUGUCUUUGCAUUUCUUCUCAACAUCAAUAUUGUCAAUAGCACGAAUUAAAUGGCAGGCACUUGCAGAAAGCUAAAAUGAACACCAGUGCAGAUGGUGUGUUAGCUGCCAUAUUGACAACUGACUCCCAUUUUGAGGGAAAACAAAAAUUAGAAACUAUUUACAAUUAAAGGAGUAGUGAGUGACAAACACGAAGAACAAAUAAAAUUACUUUACUCCCCUGAUCUCAAUGAUCCAAACACAUGUUUCUAUGCUACAGUUCAUUCUGAUUCUGAAACACGAAGAACAAAUAAAAUUACUUUACUCCCCUGAUCUCAAUGAUCCAAACACCUGUUUCUAUGCUACAGUUCAUUCUGAUUCUGAAACUUCCACUACAUGUUCAGAGAAGGGAAACCUAAACAACAACUAAUGAGGACGAACAAAACGUGGUCCUUGGGGCAGUAUCCACAACCAUUUAGUGCAAGAUCCUGCACAAACUACCCUAACAAGAAGAUCACAUAAAAAUAUCUGUGCUUAGUCAGAAGCACACCCUCAUUAUAAAACCUUGCAUUCACCCAAUAACAUUCAGCAACCUAUAUCUAAAAGGCUUUCAAGUUGCACAUUCCUUUCUCUACUAAUUUUCACAUCCAAGCCAAAAAAGAAAAACACCAUUCACCAAAAAAUAAAAAAUGAAAACAAAAAAGUCCAAGUCACCUCACAAGAAACAGUAAACAAAUAAAUGAAUGACCUCAAAAAGUCAUGGCCACAAAUAAACAAUAAUUCACAUAAGAAAAUAAAUAUAUGAACAAUUUUACCUUCCUCGUUGAAUCUCAUGGAGCAUGGCCUCUAAAUCGGCUUUAAUGGCCGGCACAAACUGCGCCUCGGCGCGCACCCUCCCGAGGUCGUCCUCGAUGGUCUGCAGCUGCGCUGCGAGCUCCUUCUGCGCCGCCGCGAGUUCCUGUACGUCCACCCUCACCCGAUUCAGCUCAGCGCUCAUUGCGGCGACGGCUCGCACCUCAGCGUCCACCUUCAGCGACUUCUCAUAGAUCUCGCGCACCUCCGCGUCGCGCUCCGCCUUGACCUCGGCACCGUUGGCGGAUAGGCGACAGAGCUCCUCCUGAGUGGCGGCGAGGUCCUGCUUUAGGGCCACGUGGAUGCCAGCGAGGCGCUGGUUGUCGGAGAUGAGGUUCUGGAUCUCGCGAUGGCGCGUUUCGACGCGCUCCUCGAGGGCGCGGACCGCCGUGGCAGCGGAGGAGGAAUGUGCGAGGCGCGUGAAGGAGGAGGGCGCGUGUUUGCGCCCCGCCAUUUUGCGAUUUGAAGAGAGUGAGGUUUUAAUUUGAUGCAGAAUAGAGAGGAAAGAGUAGCAGUUGAGUGAGUGAGCGUGGAUAUGGAUGCUCUGCAACUGCUUUCUUCUGUCUCUUCCAGUUUUGUAACUAUCUUUUCUUGAAAUUGGUCUAAUUUUUUAAAGAAAUUUAAGAUAUGGUAAAUUUUUUAUAAAAAAAAAUACAGAAAUGUGCAAGAUGUGUUUGAAAAAUAUGACUUAAACAAUUUUAGACUAAUAAAAAUCUAAGUCACAAUUUGAAAUUACAUCUUCUAAGUUUUCUUAAAUCUUAUUUUAAAUAUAUGAUUUUUAUUUAAUUUUUACAGAAGCUGUGUAUAUGGUUAAGAACUUAUUCUUUUCCUAUUUUUGUUUUGUUUUACAUUUUUAUAUUUUUAUUUUAUUUUUUUAGAAGUUGUACCUUUAUACUUCUUCUUUUUUCUUUUUUAUAAAUUAUUAUAUAGACAUAUUUUUUAUUUUAAAUUGUUAAUUUGAUUAAUGGAUUUUUUUAAACCUUUUAGGUGUUGCUAAAGUUUUAUAUAAUCUUACUUUUAUUUUCAGAUAUUUAUUUUAACAAUAUAACAUUUUUUAUAAUUUUUUUUAUGUAAACAUUUUUUUAAAUGAUUUUUAUUAUUAAGUUUUUAUAUAACAAUAUUUUUUCUUAUUUUAAAUAAUUAUAUAUACUAACAAGUAAAAAUCACAUAUAAAAUUUAAUAAUAAAAAAAUUUGCAAAUAUGUUUACAUGCAAAUUUUAAAAAAAUAAUAAUCAAAUUAUUUUAACAUAUAAAAGAUUAUCAAAAAAAUUAUAUUAUUAAAAUAAAUAUCUGAAAAUAAAAUUUAUAUAUAUGAUUGUAUAAAAGCUUAGAAACACGUAAAAUGUUUAAAAAUUCAUUAAUCAAAUUCUUAAAAAAUAAUUUAAAUGAAAAAAUAUGUUUAUAUAUAGAUUAAAAAAACAAAAAAAAAUAGAAAAGAAGUAGAGAAGUCGCAUAUUUUGAAGAAAAAAAAAAGUCUUUUUUAAACAGAACGAUUUCAACAAAAAUAAAAAAUUAAAGUCAUACCUCUAAAACAUGAUUUUAAAACAAGAUUCAUCUUCAUUAAUUUAAAGUUAUCUUUGAGAAACAUAACUUCUUUAUUUUAGAAUUGUUUUCCCUAAACACAACUUGUUCCUUUUUUUAAUCUUUGAAAUAUUUGUCCAUAUUGAUAAAUUUCUUUAAAAAUUAUGCCAGUUUGGUGAAAAAAGUGUUUUGUUAUCUAUAUCUUAACUUUAAAAAUCUACAUAAAUGUAACUUUAAAUUUGUUUCAACUAUUAUAGUUAAACAUUUUAAAGGUUUUGAAAGGCUUUACUUAAAGUAAAUCUAUUUGGCUUUUAAAUAUUAACUAGUUGUGUUACAAAUGUAUUCAAACGCUUGAGACUAUAUAUCAUGGAAAAAAUACAACACAAUAUCACUAUAAAUGGUAGUUAUUAACUAGUUACAGAGUUUAACAUUUUUUUAGAAACGUGUUUAUGCAUUACUCAUCAUACAUAGUAAAUCAUUACAAACAUUAGAAAACACUUGUGCGAAUAAAAUUUUCUGAAGCUUUCUGAGGCGAAAAAGCAUUUUGUGGCGCCUCAUGUUCUCAUCCAACCAUAUGAAAAAUCUUCAGCGGUUAUUAGAGAAAUGUUUUUAACAAUCAAUAGAUUUCUAUCUACCUACAGGAGCGAGUAUAUAAUCUAUCUAUGUUUUUGGAAUGGCGAACAAAGCUUAUAACACAAUAAUGGCAUCAAUCUAUGCAAUAGCUCAGCCUCAAAGAAAACAAAUUUUGGCACGGCCAAACCACAAAAUUCCAGGAAGCUACCUGCAAGAUGAUCAAAAGCCAAAGAAGUAGCAACUCUUACCAGUACAACUGUCCUUAAUCAUCAUUAAAAACAUUUGAAAGAAGUAUGCUAAGAAUCAGACAACUGCUAUGAACAUCUAUAGCUCACGAUGCAGUAGCCAUAACCAACACUAAAAUUUUAAUAGAAAAUAAAGCAUAACGUUUAGGAUUCCUAUUACAGUUAUAAAGGUUCUACCUGGUGCAAUUAGGCAAAACAAAAAAUAAAAAGGAAUCUUCAAGUCUUGGAUGGGUAGUAGUUAUUUCAAAAAGAAAAAAUGAUGCAAACAAAAAGUAACAGCUUGAAUUUUCUAAGUGCAACAAAAUAGAAAACAGGGCAAAAUUUGAUGAAUUUAAAAAAUAAAGGAACUUCAUUAGCUCGAGAACUUGCACUCUUUUAUUAGGUCAUUAUGGGUACAAUUAGCACUACUGGCCUCAUAUAACUUUAUAUUGAACUUCUUGGUAGCAAAUUUAAAGUUUAAAGAGUUCAAACCAAAACUUUCAACAUAGUCAUCAUGUGACCUAAAUUGAGCAUGAAUUCAACAUUUAGUUUACAACAGGUUAUGAUUGUAUAUAUUUUAACUUAUCAUACAGAUAUUAAGGUUAAAUGCAACAUGCAGACAAGGAAAACUCUUUUUUUCUAGGAAAAAUCCAUGGAACUAUGACUUAACAUAAAACAUCCCUUUAAUCCCACCACCUGUUUGAACCAGAUGCCACAUGGGAUGAGCCAAGGAUGCAAGCAUUUAUCCAGAAAAUAACAGUUCAGUAUCCAACCAAGAAUAGAACAUGUUUUCAUGAAAGCAGGAGUCACUAGAAACAAAAAUAAAACCUACCUUAGCAGCUUGGAGACUAUGCACUUGCCCCUUUAAAAGCAUUCACAUGAUUGUAUUAAUCCCAGCCUAAAAGUAAAAUCCCACCAGCAAGUGACAAAAAAAACAGAAGGAGCAAAGAGGUCAUGUAAAAGUAAGUGAACAACCUACCUCUUUGCUAUCAUCUCAAGUUACCCGCCAAUAGAAUACAACAAAUCCCUCAGACAUACAUCAUAGUACAUAAAAUGUUCUCUGUUGAAGCCCUCAGUAUGGCCGUGAACGGUUCCCACCAUAAUUAUCACGCCUAUCAGGACCAGAACCACCUCCAUCUCUGUAAUUGUCUCUGCGUCCAUAGCCACCCCUAUUGCCCCUAUAGAAUUUAAAAACAUAAAACAAAAGUUAAUACAUUAACUUAAUAACACAAACAUUUAUUACUGAGAAUUAGGAAGUCAUUUGUAUAGCUAAUAAUACAUUUAAAACUGUUAUAGUACAAAAUACAUCCCACUCUAAUCAACUCAACCCCUAGAAUAAAAACCAAUAGCAGCCCUUUCAUCAAUUAAUUAUUAUAUUUCGAGUAACUCAUUCACACAUUAUUCCAAUGUGAUUUUCACCAAUAUGUCAGACAUCCACAAAGAAAUUAUAAGCAACUUCAAAGCUACAUAACAACUAAUCAGCCAUAACCUGAUAUCUAUUGCUUUAGGAAUCCUGUCUAACCAAAUCAUUAAUCAUGACAAAUGGAGAUACUAGAUUUCUAGUUACAAAUAUAGCUUUUAAAUAUGCUCGGUUGCAUUGUUGUCAAUCCCAAAGAGUGGUGUUGAGCGACUGAUCCCAAAAAUACUCUUAACUUUGGUGAGAUGGCUACUAUACCAGAGCUUAUAAAUUUAAAUCACCCACAUACAACUACUUAGGAAACAAAAAAGAAAAUGAAGAUAUAUUCAUCAUUAAUAAUCAAAAGUCAAAAAAUUUAGACACAUAACAUAUCUUUUAUGACAAAGGCCUAAAUAAGUAUAAGAUAGAAGCAGGGAAGUGGACAUGGCUGGAAAUAAAAUAGCAGUGGAAGGGACUUACCAAAUCUUAGCAAAUAGAAAAAAAAACGUAAGAAAUGGCAAAAUACAAUUGCAUAGCAAGUUUGGAGACUAGGUGAUCUACGUGCCCAAAUAAAAAAAUAACCGUCUAAAAAACAGAGAUGGGCAGAGCAAUGCAGAAGAUAGAAUGAGAAAGAAGAUAUGCAAAAGCAACAAAACAUAGAAGACAGCACAAAGACGUAAGUACAGAGGUGGGGGCGGUUGGAAAGGGCUGAAUUUGAUCAGAAAAAAAAAAUUAAGGUUUUUCAAGGUAGUUAUUAUUCACGAGGGAGGAGAAAAUUCACAAAAAUCAUCAAAAUGUACUAAAAACAACAUGAGACAGCACAAGAUGGACAAAUUGGGGCUUUUAAAAAUAAGAUUAAUGUGGCAGCUGCAAUUUUUCCACACUUAUGUAGAGGACACAGAUUGCAACAUUGACACAAUAACAGCAUGAAAAGACACAUUUUACCACUACUUAGUUUUUUUUUUAUAUUAUGGCCAUAGCUUUCGAAAAUAUACCACUGCAAAAGUUUAGACAUAUUGUGUAUCUAUUAUUUAAAUUCUGACAAAUGGAUUCCAGUAUCAAGCCAAUGAACUAUCUUAAUGUAAACUCCAAAAUUAUAUAGAAAACUGGUACUCAUAUGUGAUAUUAUUGUUAUUCUUAAACAUGGUGUUGAAGGGGGUGCUGUCAACCACUGCUACUACUAUGACAUCAUUAAAAGAGAAUUAAAGCAUUUACAUGUUGACACUAGUAUAACUAGAUAUUUCAAGAGCAGUCGUUUUCAGUGGCAAAAUAAAAAGUCACCAACAGUGUGAAAAAUGAUAAACAAUUGAAAUAUGGAAUACCCCUGGUUAUGUGCAGGUGGAGCUUUUGGUGCAGACUUUUCUGCCAUUGUAACAGCGAUUUUGUGACCCCUCAAAUCAUAAUCUGAGAUGAAAGAUUAAUGGUAAGUGUCUCUUUACGAUAGAAGAUAAACUGUAGUAUCACAAAAGUAGUAGUAUAGUAGUAGCAGUUAGAUCAAAUACUAUUGUAAAAACCGCCAGCAGAAUGAGCUGCGGAAGGGUCUUCAUACACUAGACAACCAUCACCCUUGUUGUUUCCUUUCUCAUCAGUGUAUAGCUUUAUGUUCCAAGGCCACUGGUCUUUGUACCCCCUCUUUUGUUUUAUUCUUCCAACCUAAACAGUUACAAAGACAUUAGAGUAUGAAGCUCAACACAUCGGCAAAAUCAGAGAUAUGCACAUAAAUAUAGGAAACAUAAUCUAUAGCAUGUCCUGUCACUUCACAAGAAAAAUAGCAAAUAUGCUCAGGAAGCCACGAGGGGUCAACUAUUUCAAGUGUAAAUAAAGCAGAAUUAACUGACAUACACAUGCAUGCUCGGUAAGAAUAUGGAUACUAUGUUAAUUUACUUUGAAAAAAGGCAUUUUCAUGCAAACCAUUGCUCAUAGAACAAAUAACUCUCUUCGUAGAGCUCGUACUAAAUUCAACAGAUCAGAAUAUUACUUGUCCAAUGCCCCCAAAAAGUUCUCUCAAUUCUUCAAUAGUCACAUCCGGAGGUAAGUUUGAUAUGUAGAUUCUAGAGUUGUCACAGGAAUCCCCACAAUUCUCGUCACAUUGCUUCACCUUAGCGGGGGAGUCAGCAGGAGCUCCACCAAAUCCACCUUGGCUACCAGCACCAUAACCACCAGUAUUACUCCCAUAUGGUGAAGGAUAAGAUGCAGGUCCACCAGUAUAGCUUGCAGGUGGAGGAACCACAUCAGUUCCAUAAUUUGAACUGCCACCAGAAGAAUUGUAUGCAGGUGGAUAGUUUCCACCAGCCCCACCAUAAGGUUGAGCUGCAGGUGCAGGAGCUUGACCAUAUCCACCAUCUUCUCUGCCUUGACUACCUCUAUUGCCUCCCCCACUUCUACCAACAUUGUUAUUUCCCCUACCACUGUUAUAGCCAUUACCUCUUCCUUCAUCAUAGUUACCAGAUCUACCCCCACGACUGUUGCCAUAUCCCCCUCUAUUAUAGCCACCACCGCCACCGCCACCACCACCACCACGAUCAUUAGCACCAGCAGGAGAAGGAGCACCACAUUUGUUACAUUCAACCCUUCUUGCAAAGUUCAAAUUCCCACAACUAUAUAAUAAUACCAAUUUUCCAAUCAAAUACAGAAACGUAAGAAUCGUUAGGUGUGUUUUAUAUCCACAGUUCCAUUCCAACUACUGAAAACACAAAAUAUCCUCCAUAAAAAAAGGGCAAAAUAAAAAAAGCAAAUCGGCGGGUAAAAUCUCAAACCUCGAGUUAGGGCAACGCCAGUCACCGUCUCUACCACUUCCGCCGCCGCGGCCACCACCUCGCCCACCACGAUCCCCGCCUUGAUACCCACCUGUCACGAUUAACACAAAAUUAAGAUAUUUUACGAUUCAAAAAAGAUAAGGAAGCAAAUUAAGAGAGAAUAUUCGAAACCUCGUCCGCCGAAUCCUCCACCUCCUCGACCACCGUGACCGCCGCCAUCGUUACGCCCAUAUCCGCCACCACCUUGAUCGUAAUUUCCAGACAUGAUUGGAAUCCAAUAAGGAAUUGCAGAAACGGCAAAGAGAGGAAGAGAAGUUGUAGAAGUACAACGUAUGAUACAGGACUGUAACUCUGUAACUGGUCUUAAAUAUAAUAAGAAUAAGAACUUAAUUUAAAUGUGAGAAUAAUUUAAGCUGUUUUAUUUAUUGAAUUUAAAUUUAUGAAAUAAAUUUAUUUUCAUUUUAAUAUUUUAGAAUCACUUAUUUAUAAUAGCUUUGUAAUAUUUAAAUUUUCUAUACUAGAUUUUGUUAAUUGUUGAGGUGAUAAUAGGGAGAGAUGAAAAUAAAAAUGAAGGGUGUUUUAAUAAUGAAAUUAAAAAUAGUAUAAAGCUUAUCUUUGAUAAGAUUUUUAAAUUAGUUUUUAUUUUUUAUUAACUGAAAUUUUCUGUAAUUUUGUUGUCAAUAUUUGAUAAAUGACAUUUUUAAUAAUUAAUGAUAUUUUAAAUAAUAUUUGUUUAAACACUAAUUUUAAAAAAAAAUGUAUGAUUAUAAUAUUUACCACUUUUUUUUGCUUUUUACAUAGUUAAUUGAUCAUGUAUUAUAUUAUUUUUUACUACAAAUUAUAUUUUGUUGGAUUUUAUUUUCAUUUUAGAGUUACUUAUUUCAAUUGUGUUAGAUAAAAAAAUUAAAAUAAAUCAGGUCAAACUUUUAAUUGAACUCGCGAGUUAGAUUUUAUAAUAUUUUUUCAUAACGAUUAAUUAUAGGUACACACAUUAUUGAAUAAGAAAUAUUUUUAACAAUAAAAUUAAGUUCAAUAAAAAAUUAAAUGAGAUUAUUUCCCUCAUCUAUAUAGUUGUGAAGUUUACAUUAAAUCCUGAGUUUUAAUGUUAUGAUCAUAAAUUCUAUUAAUCUAAGUAAACUAUUAUCUAACUAAUAAAAUAAGAAAUUUACAUUUUUAUUUUGCCUUAUUUUCUUGAAAAUUGUCCAUUUUUUAUGUACUAUAUUAUAUUUAUAAAGAUGGUAAUUGGUUGAUGUAAUAAUUUUUUUAUAUAUUAAUAAAUUUGAAAAAUAUAAAUCAGAGUGAAAAUAAAAUUAUUAUAAAAUUUCAUAAAUAAAACAGAUAUUUUCAAAAUAAUAAUAAUAUAUUAAAAUAAAUUUCUUUAACACUAUUGAAAUUGAAAUAAAUUAAUUUUACUUGUUAUAUUAAUUAUUCAUUCAAGAAAACGCGAUUAUAAAUAAUAUAUUACUCCUAUUCGUUUAUAUACCUAACUUCCUUCUAAAUCCUCUUUGUAUGGCCAGAAAGUUUAAAAUAAUUGUCUUUUCGUUUUCUCUGUUUGCAUGUUUUCUAUUCAUUUCUUUGUCAUCUCUCCUUUUUCUUAUUAAUAUAGAAAAGUGUCAAAUUAACAAUACAUAUCAUACCACUCAAUUUGCACAGGCAUUGAGGUAACAAAUUAUGCAGAAACAUGUGCCAUAAGCACUCAUAUUGCAGCAGCAACUAUGAAAGGUACCCUUUUCUCUUCAAAUCCUCUACAGCAUCCUUAAUAAUCUUCUCCAUUGGAAUGAAUUGCAAACCCAAAUCCAUAAGUUUCUUUGAUCCAUCCUUCACUCUCAAUAAUCCUGGUUGGGUAUCUCGUUGCAUCCUUUCAAGCAAAAUCACAUAGUACAUCAUUUACAAGUAUGUUAUGUGUCAAAGUAUCACUAGAAGAAUUAUAUUAACCUUGUAUUUUGAUUAUGAAGACAAUAUACAAACAAGUCUAAAAGAACUAUUCAGAUUAACUAAUCACUUCUUCCUUGCCUGUUCAAGAACUAAUAGGAAAGCUGCACACUAACUACAACAUGUACUAUCUCUUGCAACAAAAGCCUAGUUCAUAAAUAAGCAUAAGAAACAACAACCUAAAGAUUAAUGGCAUACAAGAUAGAUACAUCAGUAAGAGCAUGACUGAAAAGUAAAAACCAACGUUGCAGUGCACAUGAACCAAAUUGUUGUGUUCAAAUAAGAGUAAGAAGUUUCUUCAAUAACACUCAUUCAAGCAAUAUAUCUAAUUCCUGAAUUACCGACCAAACGAUUAUUGCAUUGCAUUGACUAUACAUCUACUAGUGUGUGGCUAACUUACUUAGGCACAUUGUACUCUGGAUAAAGUUCAGCAACUUUGGCAACAAAAUCACCAUAGUGAGAGAUAGAUUCAACACACACAUGCCUACCAACUGCAGAUUUGUUCUCAUACACCAAAAUAUGCGCCAAUGCUACAUCCUUAAAGUGGACUGUUCCCAUAAAAAAGUUCUCAUAUGUAUCAUCACAACCUGCAACACAAAAUACAAAAUAUCACAAAUUCUCAGUAACUCCCCUAAAAAGUUAUAAAUUGGGUAGUUUGAUAUUAGUAUUCGGGUCAACAAUGAUUGUAGAUGGCAAAAUCUAAUGAAAGGAAUACAACAUAAUCAAACAAGCCUGAUACUUUUCAAGAAGUUAUCAAGUUCUAAAUGUCCUACUCAGCUAUACUAUCAACUACGCAGUAGCUGGUUUUGUAAAAUAAGCCUAAUAACUAUGUCACAGCAACUGUUGCGGCAUUUAUUUGCCAUUUUAAAACCUUGACCCCUAAAAUUCCUUUAUUCUUCUUAGUACAUUGCAAAUCCCUUUUCACACAGUUAAAAACCAAGCAAUCUACUUUUCUCUUGUGACUCAAAGAUACUUCAGUAACAAUGCCACUUCUCCAGUUCACAUUCCCAAUAUUCAGGGACACUCCUACUGCAAAAUUAGAAAGAAAUAUUUGCAAAAUCCAAUUGAUUAACCAGCAGUUUGUACCUUGAAGAAGGCGCACGAACAUGACCAUGCUUCCAUUAAGCCUCGGUGCAAUAACCGGACCCACCACAUUGCCAGGAUUCACUACUACAACAUCCAACCCAGUCUCCUUUGCAAAAUCCCAAGCUGCUUUCUCGGCCAAAGUCUUGGACAAUGGAUACCACAACUGUUGCACACACAAACACUUCACACACACAUAUAAGAAAAAGAAACAGAAACUGAAAAAAAAUGAAAACCCUUUCUAACCCCAUUUUGCUUGCAAAAUUCAACGUCAGUCCAGCAGUUCUCCGUCUUUGGAACAUCACCGGGCCAAUUGGGGCUCGGAGUAAUCGCGGAGACAGAGGACGUGACCACCACGCGACGAACUCCAGCUUCUUUCGCUGCCGUCAGCACGUUCAUGGUGCCCUUUAUCGCAGGGUCCAAAAGCUCCUUCUGCAUUAAGACCCAAAUGGGGUCAUGCAAAAACCCAAAAGAUUGAAAAUUUUCGAGGAGCUCGGGGGAACAAGACCUGGGGGUCCUGGACUUGUUCAACAGUGCAGGGAGAGGCGACAUGGAAUACGCCGGCGCAGCCGCACACGGCGGCGAGGACGGAGUCGUAGUGGAGGAGCUCCAUCUGGAAGAGGCGGAGGCGCUCCGACGCUCCAUCCAAGGCUUCUAGAUGCUUCGUCUCGCCCUCAUCGUCUGUUAGAAAAAGUUGUGUUGUGCUGUGUAAGUAUUGAGAUCAAAUGAAUGAAUAAUGAGAGUGUGGAUUGUAUUAACUGAGAUUUUGGACGGUGGCGUGAACGGUGUAGCCGCGGUCCAGAAGGAGGUGGACGAGCCAUGAACCGAUGGCGCCGCUGCCGCCGGUGACACACACCACCUUCUCCAUUUGGCAACUGUAUUCUAUCAACCUCCAGUUUUGUACUGUUCCAGUGUAAUCUGCUGAGGCAAAAAAUAAUUAUAAUUUGAAGUCAUAUCUGUACAAAAAAAUAUAUAUGAGUGGUGCAUAAUGAAUCUCAACACUCACAAAAAUCUCAUUAAAUUUUAUUAUUAUUAUAUUAUCAUCUUACAUGCACCAUAUCAGCAAAACCACAAAUUGCAUCACAUUUUGCAACAGAUGCAGGAAUUGAACCAGAAAUCAGAUGAUAGCAUAUACAAUGUUGUGAUGAAAAUUGGCAUGCUUAUUAUUAUUCAUUAAGCAAUAAUAUAUUAUAGAAGUAUUUUAAUCACUGGAUAUUGUUCUACUAGAUGUAAGAAACAGGUCAGUGACUUCUGUUGUUGAAAAAGUAGUAUAAUAGUUAUAAUAUAAUGUGAUUAAAAACCAUUUUUAUUGUUUUAAUAUACUGCUAAUACUACUAUAAUUAAUGUUAUAUUAAACGUUCAUAAUAUUAUUGUUACAACGUAAACCCACCCUUUAAUUGCAAUUUGUACUAUAUUAAAAUAUGAUGUCAACAUAUAUGUUAUUAUAUUAUUAAUGUUAUUAUCCUUUGGAUUUUUGUGUAUGUUUUUAUUUGGAUUUUCGUUUAUUCAAAAUUUUCAAGUAAAACAUUUAUUCAUUUGAGUGGAUUUUUUUAAAGGACUCAACUACGACCUGCUUCACGUGACAGAUGUUACACCUUAAGUACAUUACACCUUUAGCUCUCACAGUAUUCAAUUAACGCUUGAUUUAGCUUUCUGCAGUGUCUUUAUUCCUUAUCUUUCCUUUUGUCAUCAUUUUUAAUGUGCUUCUCUUACACUCUACUUCAUAAAGUUUAUAACCUACAACUUGCUUAAGCAACUUUCUUCUUACAUGGUUGUGCUCACACUUUACCUCAUUUGUCCUUCAUCGCAUCAGAAGUUCAGAUUGUUCACUUAUUUUUGUAAGACGUUAUUCAAAUUUUUGUUUCAAACUCUUGCAAUUUAAAUCGAUUGUUUUAUCCAAUGUUUUUUUUUUAUGGUUGUCUGUCCUUUUCAUAUCUUAUUUUCAACAAAAUGGCUUAUGAAGAACUUCUCCAUAUGUUGUUUGUUUUCACUUAUGGUUAUUGUUCUUUGUCUGCAUUCUAAUUUUUAAGUUUAAUUUUUAGUUAUCUUUAUAUUGGCAUUUCGGAUUAAAUGCAUCUUCAAUUAUUUUUGUAUGAUUUUUUUCCAUUGCUUACUUACUCUGUUUUCUAUUAAAAUUAAAACUUAUUACUUCUUUCAUGGUGGAUUUCAAGCUUUUGUGCUAAAGAAAUGACCUUUACAACUACAACAUCAGCUGUUUUCUAAAUACUUUUUGUUCUCGUUGUUUUUUUAAAAAAAUAUAAUACUAUUUAGGCAUGUAUUGUGCUCCGCUAGAUUUUAUUUAUGUGUUGUCUCAUAAAAGUCUUUCAUUUCACAGUAAAAUGUAUAGUGCAACUUAAAGAGAAAACCACUAUUUCGUUAUGUGUUCUUUUUCAUUAUAUUUUUCUCAAUUUUAUUCUAGUUGUUUUGUUUAACCUAUAUAUGCUUAUGUUGUUUUUAUGUUUUUCUUUUUUUUGUCAUAAGAUUUUGUAUUUAUGAACCUCUUAUUCAGAUUGUGUAACAUUUGAAUCUGGUUUGUUGCACACACUAACAUUGGCAGCUAAAACAAAGUUUUAUUGUUAGUUUAUAUUUACGAAUGUAUGUGUUCUUCUAUUUAUUUAUGUCCUUUCUUAUUUGACCUAUGUCUUUGACUAAUUGAUCAACACACCAAAUCUUCGCAACUACAAAAAUCUUUUAGUAUGCAAGAAUACAAUGUUGUUCCUUCUUCUUCACAAGUUUUAACAAAUUUGGUUUGCUUAUUUUGUUUUUAUGUAUUUUUGCUUUUUUUUUUAUAUGAUUAUGUAAUUAUGAACCUCUUAUGUUGUUGGAUGUCCAGAUUGUGUAACAUUUUAAUCUAAUUUGUUGCACACAAUUAGAUUGGCAGCUAAAGCAAAAUUUUAAUGUUAGUUUAUAUUUACGGAUUUCUGUGUUAUUCUAUUUAUUUAUGUCCUGUUUAUUUAACCUCUGGCUUUGAAGGAUUCAUCAACACACCAAAUAUUGGCAACUCCGUCAAGGAGAUACAUCCUAGAUUUUUUUUUUCUUCUUGUUUUCCAUGCUUGUAAUGCCCAACAUGAGUAUCUAAUUCUACCCUUUGAGAUUUGAGAUUUUCUCUUUAGUUGUUCCUCUACUCUAACACAAAGUUGAACUAAAUCAUUUAAAUCAUUAUAAGGAAAAAGUUCAACUUUAUCCUUAAUUUCAUAAUUAAGACCACUUUGGAAUCGAGCCCUAAUCCGUGCCCUUAACAUAAAUAACUCAAUUAUCUGCUUCUAUUGUUCUACAAUCAUGUUUAUAUGCGUUAACUUAUUGAGUUGUUUCAUCAACUCUCUAUCAUAUUAGGAAGGCUCAUACCUCUUCCUAAGAGCUGAUCUAAACUCAUUCCAAUACCUUAUUUAGGGAAAAUUAUGCAACCUAAGAUCUUUUGUAUAGGUGGUCCACCAAGUCAUGGUUGAAUCUUGAAAACUAAGGGUAGCUAAGGUAUCCCUCCUCUCAUGAUUUAUUUGGUGAGCCGAAAAAAAUUUCAACCUUCAUCUCCAAGGUUACGUAAUCUUCUAUAUUUGAUGAAAAAUGAAAAUAAGGAAGGUCAAUCUUAGGCUCUUUAGGCACAUGAUGGGCUCGAUGUCUAUGUUGUCUAGCAUUUUAUUGGUAGUAGUAUGUAUUGUGAUACCUACUAUAAUCAUAUUGGCUUUGGUAAGGGAUUGUAUGAUGAUUGCUUAUAUGUUUGUGAGAUCCCUCUCUUAGGAAAUCACAAAUUUAGAAAUUAUUUCUUUCAAUUCUGAAAAAUUCAUUUGCUUGUUUUGUUACUCUUUCAUAGACAUUAAAAGAAUCUUGAGUGUUUUGAUUACCAUGAACACUAGAUUGAUGUGAAGGAUCACCCAUUGUUGAAUUAAAAUAGAAAAAGUUUUCACAAAAAUUUACAAUUCAAUUGAGUGAUCAAAAUAUUUUUUGAAAAUAUUUUUUUAAUUUUUGGUGAAGUAAAUAGAUCAAGUAUGAGAGUUCUCCAAGUUCACUCCCACGAAAAGUGAGGUGAGUCACAAU